UUAGAUUCUUGGUUUGCGUGAAGUUUGGAUGGAAAUAAAUAUCACUCAUCAUCUUUAUUUAAUUUUCGCACUCCAUCUUUAACACAUGAUAUAUCUUGAAGUCUCUUCUAGAUCGAUUCUUCGUUAUUUUUCAUUUCUGAAUUCUCGUUCCAGAUUUGUAAAGAUCGUUCCUUGAUAUACGACGUUCCGGCUAUGGAUUUAUGUUAUUUCUCCAUUCAAUUUGUUAUUGUUCCUGUUCAGAUUUGUUGCAGUAGCCUUUUUUGUAUAGAGUUCGGGUGAAAAUCGUUUUUUGUUCUAUAGAGAUCUGUUGAGGUAUGCUAUAGAUUCGAUUUAUUUCUGUGAUUUUUUGUAUUGGUCCUAUAGAUCUGUUUGAGGUAUGAUAUAGAUCCGAUUUAUUUCGCUUUUGUAAGGAUGGUCUGCACAUUGCAUGCUGCCAUCACCAGGAUCUUCUUGGAGACCUUCCAUCACCUUUAAAAACAGGUUUGAUCUGGUUUUGAUUCUGCUAUCGCCUGCUAAGAUUUAUAGCCUUUUAAUGCAUUUUGAUCAAUGGUUUCACUGUUUCGUUUCGUUGUGCUGGAUUGAUUCAUCAUGUUUCAAACUGUAUGAUUAGUCCAUCUUGGUUAGUCAUGAGAUUAUGAUCGUGAUUCAUUGAGUUUUCCGUAAGACUACGGCGGUUUGUAAUUUUAAGAUGAUGAAUCAGGACUUGAGUUGAAGAAGAGGGUGAGUUUAUUUGGAUGAUUGAGUUAUAAUGAGAGAGAAUUUAAAAUUAGGGUUUUGAUUUUGAGAUUUUUCCCGAUAAGAAAUAAAAGAGAAAGAUGGGGAGAACACAAUUAUUUGAUUUUGCUUUGAUUUUUUUAAUGUUUAGUUAUUAAUGUUGUCUUUUUAUCAAGGAAAAUAUGUUUAUUUUGACAGAGUAUAUUUAAUUAAUUUAUCUUGAUAAAUAAAUUUGAUUUAAUGAAUGAAAAAAUAUUUUAAUUUUAUUAGUUUUUAUUGUGUUUUGUUACUUUUUUUCCCUUUUUAAAACAUUAAAAUGUUAAAAAUGGGUCAAAAAAUAUAUUUUUUUCGUUGCCUUUUAUUUUUCAUGUUAUUUCUUUAAUUUUUUGUUUUUUUACACGGCCAUAUAGAAAUAUCCACAUCGGUAUAUAUUUCUUUUUAGUUUUAUUUUUUUGCUACCACAUAAGAAAAAUCUGAAACAAUUUUUGUAAUGGAAUGUUCCAAUUUUACUAUUUUAAUUAGUUUAAUAUGAUAAUAUAAAAAAUUUAAAGUUCAGCAAUGUAUUUGAUAAAACGUACCAACUACAUUGACUAAAACAUUAGUUUUUGCCAUUCUUUUUUCCAUACCAGUUAAUAACUAAAUGUAACAAAAAAUACUCGAUUAGCUUUUUACAAUACUCAGAUUCGAGUCCGAACUAUUUGAUUAGUUUGCAGCUUUUUUUACCCUACAAUACUCGGUUACCUUUUUACUCCGUGCAACUCAAUUUUUUUAUUCCAAUUUGAUGGGACCACCAAUAAUAUAACUAUCUUCAAUCAGGUUUACGUUAAUAUUUUUGUUGUACACUUCUUUCUGGGUUAACCCAAUGCUUUCCAAGUGUGGAGAUGAGCAUGGACCAUGGUGAGCCGCAUCUUCAGCUACCCAAUCGUCAGCCCAAAUUACAGUCGAUUUGGUGGAUUUCCCGAUGGACUAUAGGUUUGUUUAGUUUAAUCCAAAAUAAACAAGAAUAAUUUUAGGGGGACAUUUUUUUGCUGACAUUCUAGCGACAUUUUAGUACAUACAAGAAACAGACUGUACAAACUCUGUUUUUUGUAUAUAUCCAAAUUACACCUAAAACACUGUUUUUUACAAAAAUUUCAGUUGGAAUAAAUACUAUACAUUUUUUGAGAGGUACUACAAAAAAAAUCAAAAAAAAUAAUGUCGCUAGAAUGUCAGCAAAAAAAUAUCUCCCUAGAAGUACUCAAUAAACAACACCACCUUGUUAUGUCCUGCUAGAAGGCUGAAGUUGAAAUCGACUCAAUUUACUCUCUCUAUAUAUAUCUCAAGAAUUGGACAAAAGAACGGAGAUUUAGUAGUGGGUUAAGAAUAAGAUGUAGUCCGAGUUCAAAACACGAGAUGCAGGAGGGAGGGAGGGAGGGAGGGAGGGAGGGAGGUUAUCAUUAAGUUAAUUUUAUGGUAAGUUGGUCAAUUGAUCAAUACAGUGUUGAUACGCAGAGAGGGAGAUCACAUUAUGGCCUGCGCGUCGACACUGUAUUGAUCAAUUGACCAAAGUUAACUUCAUGCUAACCACUCCCGGAAAAGAGAGGGCAAUUGGGGUGUGUAAAAUAUGAGGGCCAAUUGGACAUAAAUGAAUAAAUUUAAUUAAAAGGUGAGGUCUACUACGAAUAUAUUUAAUUGGGUUGUGUAAAUAUCAAUUCUAAAAAAAAUAAAUCAAAGAGAGUAAUUAUAUUUUAUAAUUUAUACCAUCUAAAUUCUAAAAGAUAUAUAAUAAGUCUAAAUACAAUUGAGCUCAUAAAAAUAAAGUUUUUAGAGUAUACUAGACAAUAAAUAAAAAUAUAUGAAAUAUAUUGAUUCCCCAUAAAAUUUGUAAUUUAAAUAAAAUUAUAUAACUCAAUGAGAAAUUUUCAUUACAAUCCUUGGUGAUUUAUGUAUCAAUUUUUUAUGAGUAGUGCUAUACAUUGUAAAAGUUUUCAGUCAAAUUAUAAUUACGACGUAUGUACAUACAUGUGAUAUGUAUGAAUUAAGAAGAGUCAACUUUAAUUUAUUCUAUUUUAUCGCAUACACUUUCAAGUUUGUCGUCGUAAUCCAAGUUCGUCAAAUAUUUAUAGGGAAACUGAUAUUUUCACAUGACUUUUUGAUUUUUUUCACAUGAAAACUGUUGCUAUAGAUUCUAUAAUGACUGUUUUUACCGUCGCUAUAUAUCUAUAUUUAUUAUAAUUAUCAUACUUAUCUCAUAUACUCUCUAUCUCAUGCGUAACAUUUUUUUAUGAGUGGUAAUUUUGGAAAGAUUGUAGUUAAUUCUCUUUAGAUUAUAUAAAACGACAAAUAAUUAGGAAAAAUAAAAUCAUCUAAAACGAUAUGAUUAAUGCUAGAGACACAACUUAUUCUACAACUAUUUUAUAAUUUGUUGAUGUGACAUACUCCACAUCAGCAUGUUGAUAAACAAAUUGCUUCAAUGUAGUCUUCAGCUCCAUAUAAAAGCUGAGGUGAAGUAUGUUACAUCAUCAAAUUAUAAAAUAAGUUGUGUAUCUAUCAUUAUUUAAAUGGUAUUAAGGGACGGGGAGGUUAUCAUUUCCAAUUUAUAUUCACCAAUUAGACAGUGUAGAAGAUUACAUUAUGUUUAAAAAUAUGGCACAUGAUUGGCUCUAAGUUUGUGAAUUGUGAUGGUUAAAAUUUAAUUGGAAAAUUCUUCCCCAACUUUAUCAAUUUAUCUUAGACCGACCGUUAAAAAAUAGAGGCAGUUAGCAGAUUCAAGUGUCACUUUCUUUCAUUUCAUAUGGCCAUUAAUUAAGCAAGGAGAUGCCUGCCUUGACAGUUUGUUGAAGAAAUCGCUGGUAUCUAUGACGACAAAGCUAAAGAAUCAAUUAAUCAAACCCUUGCCUUACCUGAGGAGGCCAUCAGCUUAUUGCAUUAAAUAUCUAUUUCAAAUAUUCCAAGUAGCUGCUUACAUUAUUUUAUUCUCCAAUGCUACUUUAUUUACCCCUUAUGAAACCGGUUAAUUAAGAAUUCUCUUUUUAAGAUUGGAUAAAAGAGUAAUGUUAUUAUCACAUAAAAUUACUCACAUAUCGCUCAUAUAUAUUGAUAUGAUCCACAUGACUUGCUCUGCACGUGAGUCAUAUUAAUAUGCAUGUGAAUGUAUGUGAACGAUUUUUUAUGUGAUAGUAGACAUAUUACUAGAUGAAAUAGUGUGCACUGGCGGAACCAGGGGGGCCAGGGGGGGCACCUGCCCCCGGUAGGUUGGUACUAAGGUUAAGGUUUGGAGAGAAAAAAAUGAUAUUUACAUAUAUUUUAUAUCUUUUUUGUAAUUUUUUUUAUAGGUCCUGCAACUCAAUGUGAGUGAGAAACGUAAAUUUGAAUUGUCUAAAUAAUGACAAAAUGUUUGCAAAUAAAAAACAUAAAGAGGCUAUUUUGUUUUGUUCAAUAUAAAAUUAUUAUGAACUUUUUAAAAUCAAAUUAAGAUAUUUUUAAACUCUAAAUUAAAAUAAUUUUAAAAAUUCUGAGGCACGUGCUCUCAAUAGUCAAAAUCUAUUAAAAGUUGCAUGAAAACACAAUUUAUUUCUUAUUUGAUGCAUUAGAAACUCCAAAGUAGCCUUUAAUUUAAUUAAUGGGUGAUAUAAUAAGCAUCUCAAUUUUUAAAUGCAUUCUUCUCCGGAAAAAUUUCAAAUUAACCUUUAGUUAAUAUGUAAUCAAGAAAUCUUUGUGAAGAGAUUCAAUCAAAUAUGUUCAUUUCUAUAUUCCUACAAUUUUUACAAACACAUUGAAUUAUUAUAUUUUUUCAACAAUUGAAAACGAGCAAAUUUUGAGAUGUUUUUAAACUAUACAGACUCGCAGGAUACAGUUACCUCCUUUUAGUCGUAAAAUCGAAAGAAGCACUUUAAGCGUCAAUAAAUAAAUUUUUUUUAUUGAUGUAUUUUGCCCCCCUUAUGAAAAUCUUCUGGUUUAGUAUGUGCUAACUAAUAUUUCAACGAAUGACCUCAUGCAAAAUAUCACAUGAUUGGCUGGACAUGUAUUUGAAGGACUUUUAUUUUUCAUUAUUUUUUAGAAAAGUGAUAACAAUAAAAAUAAAAUUUUAGAUCUCUCACCACGAGUAAACUGAGACAUAUGAGUCCCAGAAUCUCAAUCUUAAUUUUUAGUCCAAAAUUUUAUUAAUACUCUUGAAGUUAAGCCUAACUUAAGUAGAUAGUAAUUAAGACUGAAGUAUUGUGACAUUUAAGUCUUAAGUUCAAUUCUCAAUUUAUUAUGGAAGUUUAUUUACUCUUUAUGUUUGUGGGUUUGUUUCUUUAUUCUCUAUGAGGUUUGAUUGAUUUUUGAUAUUGUAAUAGCAAUAAUAUAUUUGAUUAUGAAAUUAAUUACAAUAAUCUACUUGAUUAUAAAAUUAUAUCGUAUUCCCGAAAAUGGAGUUUCAAAAUUAAUAGCAGGUUCGAUUCUUUGUUAUGUGUUCUCUUGUUGACUAUAUUAACAUUUUAUUGUGGGACUUUAUUUCAUUUUUAUUAUGUCGUCACCCACAGAGUGUGAGGUAUACUUAAUGUUGAGAGAAUAAAAAAUUGUUGUGAUAAUUAUAUAAUUUAUUAUAUAAACAGGAUGGAACUUGAGGCAUUUAUACUUUUCUAAAAUGGUAGUCUCAUACUUCAUUUGACAUUCUUUUUAACUCAAGUUUAAUAAAGAUUUAUUAUGUAUACCACUUAACUUAGCAUUGUUUUAUGAUUUAUUAUUCUACUAUUAAAUUAUAAGAAAAUUUUAAUUAAUUAUUAAAAGUAUUUCACAAAAAGGAAUCACUUUCUAAAAUCGAUUUAUGAGAGAACCUAACAUCCGAAUUUGAUCUGUCAGUUAGGGAAGAUUUUUUUAUGACAACACCUGAUUUUUUUUUUUAUUUACUAAAUACUAUCUAAAAAUAUUAUGGUUAAUAUUUGUUUGUUUUCAAAACUUAAUAAAUUAAAUUAAUUUACAUUUAGAACUUCACAAAUUAAUUUCGAAAAGGUUUUAGGGAGAGAUAUCACAUUUUUUUUGUAGCUAUAGGUAUUUUCAAAAAAAUGAAAAUGAAAUUUGACAAUAUACUUGCGCUUUUGAGAUUAUUUAAAUAAAUAAUAGCAUAAAUUAAAAUUAAUACUCCAUUUGUCUUAAUUUUAUAGUUGUUGAAUACUUACUAUAUUUGCAUAUUUUAUCCAUAUUUAAAUAAAUGACGGUAUUUGUCCGUUUUCAAAGUUAAAUACUACUCUAACAAAUUAUACUUUAUUCAAGGAAACUAAAAUCUUGGAAAUAUUUAAAACAUGUAAUUAUUUAUUAUUAUUAUUAUUAGUAACAUUUUUGUUGGAAAAAGUAAUAACACCAAGAAUAUAGGAUACAUUUAACCUCAUACUCCUAUUUUCCAACAAGUUGCGAAAAAUUACCAAAUUGUUACUCAAUUUUUUUGUGAACCAUUAAUUUUUAUCGAAUCCUUCAAAUGCAUAUCCUUUUAUAUGCAUUAAUUUAACUUGAAAAAAAAAAGAAAAUACUUAUAUGGUGAGAAAAAAAGUAAAAAUAAAAAAUUAGCCUUUUAAUAGUCGCUUAACAUGACAAAAAACUCAAGAAUUCACGAUAUAUGUGAUUCGUUAAAGUUAUAUUGAAAUUGUUAAUAAGAAACAAUAUUCGCUGGCUGAUUUUUUUUAAGAGUAAAAUAUACUGACACCCCUUGUAGAUAAAUAUAAUAACAUUCACCACUCUUUUAAUUUUUCAAGUAACAGUCAGUACCUAUCUAGUCUAUAAUAUGUAAUAUUCACUACCCUUAGUGUGGUUGACCAACUAAUAUUUAAAAAUAUUUUUAAUAUAAUGUCUAAUACACCCUUCAAGUUAUAAUAUUUUAAUUUUUCCACUAAAUAUAAAUCUGUAUAUCAUAAUUUUUACUUUAAUUAAUUAAAUUAUGAAAUUGUGCAAUAAAUAAUAUAAAAGUCAAAAAAUAAUAAAUAUUUAUUUUAUCAGGAAAAUAAAGUCAUAUAAUUUUUACUAAUUAAAUUUCUCAAAUAUUAAAAUUUACGUGAUAUAUAUUCAAAUAUAUUUUUUUGUAAUUAAAAAGUAUAAUAUUAAUACCUAUAAAAAUUACAAAUUAAUGCAAUAAAAUAAUAAUUUUUUCAAAUAUUAAAAUUUAUGUAAAACAAACUUAUUAUUACAAUUUAAACGAAUCUUAUUACUCAUAUAAAAAAAGUAUUAAAUAUUAUAUUAAUUAUUUUUUUCAUAUAUUAAAUUAAACAUAAGUCACACUAAAACAUAAUUAUUUACAGUAAAAAUAACAAAUGUUGUUAUUCAAAAAAAAAGAAAAAAUAUAUUAAAAGAAUUUUUUUUUACAAGAUAGCGGUAGUAAUAAAUAUAAUUAUAUUUUUUUAUUUUACAUUGCAUAAAAACGUCAACUGUAUACUAAAAAAAUGUAAUCAAAAUCAUAAACAUCCCAAUUUUUUAUAUAUACUCAAUAAAAAUUAACAUAUAAAAAUUAUAAUAUGAAACUAAAAAUUCAAAUAAUAUUUUUUGUUGUUAAGCACCAAAAACUAAACUAUUAAUAUACUCAAUCACUAAUAAGAAUAGCUUCAUUAAUAAUUUAAUUUAAAAUUUUUUAAUAUUUGUAUUACUUAUCCAAAAAUAUGUGUUAAUUAAACUAAAUUAAUUUUUUAUAAGUUACCAACACUUUAAAUGAGAGAGUUUUAAUUACAAAUAAAACUAUAAUUAAAAUGUAUUAUAUUAAAAAAAGGAUAAUUAAACACACACAUAUAUAUAUAUAUAUAUUAUUUAGUAAUUAAAAUUUGAUAAAAUACAAGGAUAAAUAUGUAACUUUAUCUAUUUAGUCAACCCUAAAAAUUUGCAAGGGUACUAACUAUUACUUAAAAAACUAGAGAGAAUGUGAGUGUUAUUAUAAUUAUCUAGAGGGGUGUCACUGUAUUUUAUUCUUUUUUUUAACCUUCUUGAGACUCUACAGACUAAAAUAUGUUGUUGUAUCUAUUUAAAGUAGAUAGUAUAAACAUCAAUUAUUAUUAUUAUUGCUAAAUAAUAAAUGUCAAUUAUUCAUGUGUGUGUAUAUAUAUAUAUAUAUUAAUUUAAAGUUUAUUAUUAUGGAUAAUCGUAAUAAAAUUAACAUGCUUCUUUGCCGAUAUAUAUAAAAAAAUUCAAAUCCAAGUCUAUCUCGGAUAACAAAAACAUCUCUCCUCCAAAAACCAAAAUCCAAAAUACUGCCACUCCUUCACAUAAGCUUUAUUGAGAAUCAGACGGGCCAUAAUAAUCCAUCGCAAUUGGGUCCAUCCGAAUCAAACGGCAGUUGGGGCGUCCAUCGAUCAACAAUGACAUCUCACCCCGUAAUUUUUCUCAAGCAGGCGCACGACGCGCUACCGCGCAUUUUAGCACUCCUGACUCAAGGUCUACCAAAAUAUAGAACCCGAACGUUAAAACCGCCCACUCUCACAUAUAUAUAAACUUACGUUUCCCGGCGAUUUCUUAUUCUCACAGAAAACCCUCCGGAGCUCUCUGUUAUGGUUUUCCCGUCGAGCAAAGAGAAGUUCGCCGGAAAAUAAGAAAUCAGGGGGGCGUUAAAUUUGAGAGAGAAAGAACGAGCGAGCUUGGUUUUUGUAAUACCCAAUAAAAUAAUAAAAUAUUUAUGUGAGCUUUAAAAUAUUUAAUUAAAUUUUUCUUAUAUUUGGGUUAAACUGUAGUUAAUUUAUUUGGGCCAUUAAAAUUAAUUAGGUCUAAUUUAUAUUUGUGCCAUUUUAAAUUCUAAUAAAAUUAAAAGUAUUAAUAAAAUAUAUUAAUUAAUAAAUAAACCUAAACCUAACUGCUUUAUUAUAUCUCUGCGAAUCAACUGAAAAAAAAGGGGGAGAACUCAGCCGCACGAAAGAAAGUGUUGAAUUGGAAUUGGUAAGUUACUAGUUUUAUUUAUUUAUUUUUUGAAUGGAAGCUUUCUUGCUGGGUAUUGUGUCAGGGACUUAAGGGACUUAAGUUUUUGAAUGCAUGCCUGCUCAUUCUAUAUAUAUAUACCUCCUGCAGCAAUGAUUAAUUAAUUCGAAUAUAUAUAUAUAUAUAUAUAUAAAUACAGCGGCUGAUUCAUUGUAUAUAUAUAUAAUAUAUAUAAGACACGAAAAUUUAAAAACGGGUUAGUAAUAAUUAGUAUUAUAAUAUUAUUGUUAUAAUUAAAAUAUAUCUUUUGAUUACAAAUUGAAUAUAAUAUAUUAAAAUUAUUGAGUUUAUGAAAAUAUAAUUUGUACGAGUUCGUAAUUUAAUUAAAUGCUUUAUAUUUUAUUUUGAUAAUUAGAUCGGAUUGAGGGAGUUUAGCGGGCGAUAUUUAGAUUCGGCGAAUUAUUUCGAUACUACGUUAAGGUACGGAUUCCGUACUUUUUCAGCGAGACUCUUUUAAAUAUAAUUCGUUCGUUUUGUUAUUCGUUUAUAAAUUUGGUAUUGCCUCUCGGGAAUAUUCUUUGUUGUCAAAAUUAUUGAGAUAGUUUCGUUUUGGCGUUGAUUUUUGAAUUCGUAUUUGUACUCUUUGAACUAGUUAAUCGUGUCAAUAUGUUUUGGAGACUUUAUUCGUUUGUACCAUUGUUCGUAUAUUUUCGUUCACACUCGAAGUUGUUUUGAUCAUUGAUAUCUUGUAAUAAUUGGGUAUGUUUGUAUUUGAUAAUUCGAUUUCAUUUGAAUAUGGUCAUGUAAGCCUUGUGAUUUGAACCCCUUUUGGCUUACAUUUUGUAGUUUGAUCCUUAGGGUAUACUUGAGCUAACCACCUGUGGGGGUACCACAGGCAUGUCCUCUUGACACAAGGGCAUGACACCUUCUGUGGCGGUGUGAUCAGUCCACGGCAUAUCCUUUUGUAUGUUCUGGGUAUGAGCUUUGGCCAUUUGAUAUAUUUGUUCAGGAUACGUAUGGGUCGACCCAGUAUUUGAUUUGAUUCGAUUUAUUUGGCGGAUUAGUGACGUAUGUGUCGUGCGUACUAUCCGAUUUGAUUUGUAUACAUCAUGGUACCGAUGUAUUUUGUUAGCCUUUGGCUAUUUGUAUUUGAGCUCAGUAUGAAAUUGUUAUCUUAUAACCAUUUGACUCAGCCUUAUUUGUUUGUGAUUCUUUUGGCUAUAAUUAUUCGAUUGACAGUGUUAAUCAUUUGUAAAUGGACUCUCAAAUUUUGAUCUAUUCGUAAUUCGAUCGUUUGUAAUUCACAUGUGUUCAUUCAUUCAAUUCUUUUAGAUUCAUUACUUAUUGUGAUAUAUUUAUUCAUCUUCAUAUCCGUACUGGGCAAUUGGCUCACGCUGUGUUCUUUUUCCGGCAGGUAAUCAGGAUUUGUGGGAUGAGAGCUACCUUUGAUCCAAAUGAGUAGAUUAGCCUUUGAGAUUAUUACUAGACUUGGUCCUUCCUAAUAUUUUGUAAUUGGAUGCUUUGGGGCCUAUUUUGUUAUUUAUUUCUUAUUAGUAGAGGCUAUGUAAAUGUGGAGUUCUUUCUAUUUAAUUGGAGUAUGUGACAUUUGGUAUUAAAUUUUAUUGGAGAUAUUUUGAAAUUUAUUAGAGGUUUGUAUUUAUUAUGUUUGUGAGUGACAUCCCUUUUUUCUUUUGGGAAAGGGGGUGUUACAGAGUUGGUAUCAAAGCCAGGUUAUGAUCUUGUAGAUUGCCUUUUAGGCUUGGCCUGUGAGUUAUGGGUAGACCACUGGGUAGUUAUAAGAUUUGUAUUGCGUUUGAUUUUCGUUCUGCAUAAAUUUGGCCUUGAUUAUUUGUUUUGAUCUGUUUGUUCUCGUCUGUUUGAUUUUGUAUCGUAAAUGGCUCGUAAGUCUUCGAGAAUUGCUGGGAGGCAGGCCGGUAAUAACGGUAGGAGGGGUCAGAGGCAGCCCCAAGUUGAGGCUGUUAACCAGGGUGGAAAUGAUGGGGCCUAGGGUAAUGCAAUAAUAACCCCGGCUAUGGUUGCAGCAAUCGUGAAUAAGGCAGUUACGCAGGCUGUGGCACAGGCUAUGCAGGGUAUUCCGCAGAUGCAAGGAAAUCAACAUGCAAAUGGCAUGGGGGAUGAUGAUGAGAUACCACAACAUGAGCAGAAUGUUCCUCCCGAGGAUCAAGUGGGUCAACAAGUGCAGCCGUUGUAUGUGUUAUUAGAGAGGUUCAUUAAGCAGAAGCCCAAUUCUUUUCGUUUUGCUCCGACUCCAAUUGAUGCGGAGAACUGGAUCGCCCACUUGGAGAAGAUUUUUGAUGUGAUUGGGUGUUCAGAAAAUCAGAAGGUGAGGUUAGCAAUUUAUAAGCUAGAGGAUGAUGCUCAGCGAUUGUGGAAAUCGUUGAAGGCUACACAGGGAGAUGGAUUUAUAGAUGGGCUCAUAUGGAGCGGAUUUUGUGACCUUUUCUAUCAGCAGUAUUUCCCAAAUGCUGAUAGGGAUGCAUACAUCAGGGAAUUUGUGUCCAUUCGGCAGAAGGAUGAUGAGACUAUUACUGAUUUCAUAGCGAGGUUUACGAGAUUGGCUGGUUUUGCGGGUUCAAUAGCUAGGAAAGCUACACAACAGGCAGAAAAGUUCAAAUGGGCCUUAAAAUAUGAGUAUAGGCGAUCGAUCAUCCACACCAUAUUUACAGAUGUAUCACAGGUGGCUAAUGCAGCUAAGAGUGUGAAAAUAGAACACAAGGACUUUCGAGCUUCCAAAACAGAAGGGAGUUGAAAGAGAGAUAGAGAUGACCAUCAAGGGCAAGGAAUGUGACAGUUUGGUAGAAAUCAGAAUAGAAGGCAAAAUAAUUGGAAUGAGCCUCCAUCAGGACAGCGGUUUAAUCCUCGAAGGGAUUUUGCUUACCCAAUGCAGCAGGGUGGUCGUGGAGGUCAGCAGCAGGGUCAGUGGCAAGCUGGAGGGCAGUAUCAAAAUAGGGGAUUUCAACAGAACAGGGGUUUCCAGCAAAAUCAGAAUCAGGGUCAGCAUCGCCAACAGGGUCAAAUCCAAGGGCGGUAUCCAGGACCGGCAGGUGGGGCAAUCCGAACCUUUUGCCACUUCCACCUGCUCCAUGUGCUACUUGUGGUGGGUAUCAUGCUGGUAGGGCGUGCUAUAGAAAUACAGGGGCUUAUUUCUUAUGUGGACAGAUGGGACAUAGAGCAAGGGACUGCACAGUUCAGCGUGGUAAUGGGGGAGGCGGUAAUGCUGGUAAUGGCGGUCAGCGUAACGCCAGUGGGAGAGUAUUUGUAUUGACAGCUAAUCAGGCGGCCCAAGCACCAGGUACUAUUUCAGGCAUCCUUCUUGUAGGAAAUCGUGAGGCAUCAGUUUUGUUUGACACUGGAUCUACGCACUCUAUUGAUGCACUUUCAUAUGUUCGUCAUCUUGGAGUGUCUUCUCAUACAUUAGAUCCUCGUUUAUCUAUUGCUACCCCAAUGGGGAAUUCUGUGAUUAUUUCUGAGCACUUUCGUGAGUGUCCUUUGAAGUUAGGGAGGAGGAUGUACGCAGUUAACUUACUUCCGAUGGUGAUGCAUGAUUUUGAUAUUAUUUUGGGUAUGGAUUGGCUGAGUAAGCAUCGAGCCAUUAUUGAUUGUCAGGCGAGGAAGGUUAUUUUUGGAACCUUAGAGGCUCCAGAAUUCGAGUUUCAAUGUUCCAAGCCGAAUGGUGUUGUAAAGUUGAUCUCAGCUUUGAAGGCGAGCAAAAUGAUUUCUAAGGGACAUGAUUGUUAUUUGGCUUAUGUGAAGGAUACCUCGAGGGAUGAGCCCCAACUUGAUGACUAUCCAGUUGUGCGAGAAUUUCCUGAGGUAUUUCCUAAGGAUCUGCCAGGAUUGCCACCGCCAAGGGAAGUUGAGUUUACUAUUGAGCUCAUUCCUGGAGCGGAACCUAUCUCUAAGGCACCCUAUAGAAUGGCUCCAUUAGAGUUACAGGAGUUGAAGGAACAAUUGCAGGAGUUGUUAGAUCGUGGAUUCAUUAGACCGAGCGUAUCGCCAUGGGGUGCUCCAGUGUUGUUUGUGAAGAAGAAGGACGGAUCUAUGAGAUUGUGUAUAGAUUAUAGGGAGCUAAAUCGGAUCACUAUCAGGAACAGAUAUCCAUUGCCACGGAUAGAUGACCUUUUCGAUCAGCUCCAAGGGGCAAAGUUCUUCUCAAAGAUAGAUUUGAGGUCGGGGUACCAUCAGUUGAGGGUGAGGGAAGAGGACAUUCCAAAAAUAGCUUUUCGUACUCGGUAUGGGCACUAUGAGUUUUUGGUGAUGUCAUUUGGGUUGACUAAUGCUCCGGCAGUGUUUAUGGGUAUGAUGAAUCGGGUUUUUAGCGAGUAUUUGGACCAAUUUGUCAUUGUCUUCAUUGAUGACAUUUUGGUGUAUUCCAAGUCUAAGGAGGAGCAUGAAGAGCAUCUUCGUACUGUUUUGGGGGUUCUGCAGAAGAAUAAGUUAUAUGCUAAGUUCUCCAAAUGCGAGUUUUGGUUAGAACAGGUAGCAUUUUUGGGACAUGUCGUGUCUGCUGAAGGUAUUAAGGUGGAUCCUGCGAAGGUUGAGGCUAUCACUAAUUGGCCAAGACCUACCACGGUAACUGAAGUAAGGAGUUUCUUGGGUUUGGCAGGGUACUACAGGCGAUUUGUGGAAGGUUUCUCUUUGUUAGCUUUGCCAUUAACUCAGUUGAUGAAGAAGGGCAUAAAGUUUGUGUGGAAUGAGGAACGUGAGAAAAGUUUUGAGGAGCUUAAGAAGAGGCUUGUGUCGGCUCCAGUGCUUACAUUACCGUCGGGGAUAGGAGGUUAUCAGAUUUACAGUGAUGCUUCCAAGAAGGGAUUAGGGUGUGUUUUGAUGCAACAUGGUAAGGUAAUUGCUUAUGCUUCCAGACAACUUAAACCUUAUGAGGUGAAUUAUCCUACCCACGACUUGGAGUUAGCAGCAGUUAUUUUUGCCCUAAAGAUUUGGAGGCACUAUUUAUAUGGAGAGACUUGUGACAUUUUCACCGACCACAAGAGCCUUAAAUAUAUUUUUACUCAGAAGGAGCUGAACAUGAGGCAGAGGCGUUGGUUGGAGCUUCUCAAGGAUUAUGAUGCCAGAAUUCAGUAUCACCCCGGUAAGGCUAAUGUGGUUGCAGAUGCUCUUAGUCAGAAAAGUUCAGGGAGUGUAGCUGCCUUAGUUACACAACCUCAACUUAUCAUGGAUAUGGAGCGUGUGGGUUUGGAGCUACAUGCUAGUGGUUCUGUGGGCUGUAGCGCAAAAUAUGGAUGAGGGUAGGCAACCGGAGUUCCGCAUUGAUGAGCAAGGUGUGAUAUGGUUUGGUAAACGGUUAUGUGUUCCGAGGGAUCCAAUGAUUCAUGAGGCAGUGUUGACUGAAGCUCAUAGUUCGCCAUUUUCUAUUCAUCCGGGGUCUACAAAGAUGUAUAAAGAUCUGAAGAAGAAUUUUUGGUGGAGUGGAAUGAAACGGGAUGUAGCUGAAUUUGUCAGUAAAUGUCUUACUUGUCAGCAAGUGAAAAUAGAGCAUCAGCGGCCUGGUGGUUUGUUGCAAUAGUUAGAGAUUCCCGUGUGGAAAUGGGAUGACAUUUCGAUGGACUUUGUGACUGGGUUGCCGAGGACUCUUAAAAAGAAUGAUACUAUUUGGGUGGUAGUGGAUCGUUUGACUAAAUCGGCUUAUUUUCUGUCUAUUCGUGAAGAUUUUUUGUGACGCCCCCAAAAUAGGUCCAUUCCAUCCAACCCAUUCUGAGUCGCCAAAUACAUGGUACAGAAAUAACUACAACUUUAUUAAUACAAUUGUCAUGCAAAAUACGAUAACAUAUAUACUGUGAGUUUAAAUACAGAUAUUGCCAUCUAGACAAUAUCCACAUACAAAUAAAUCCUCAUCAUAAUUAUUGAUACAUUAUUUUACAACAAUGGUGAGGACUACUAAACAACUCUCCCUAGAACUUUCAUUCCAUACCCCNNNNNNNNNNNNNNNNNNNNNNNNNNNNNNNNNNNNNNNNNNNNNNNNNNNNNNNNNNNNNNNNNNNNNNNNNNNNNNNNNNNNNNNNNNNNNNNNNNNNNNNNNNNNNNNNNNNNNNNNNNNNNNNNNNNNNNNNNNNNNNNNNNNNNNNNNNNNNNNNNNNNNNNNNNNNNNNNNNNNNNNNNNNNNNNNNNNNNNNNNNNNNNNNNNNNNNNNNNNNNNNNNNNNNNNNNNNNNNNNNNNNNNNNNNNNNNNNNNNNNNNNNNNNNNNNNNNNNNNNNNNNNNNNNNNNNNNNNNNNNNNNNNNNNNNNNNNNNNNNNNNNNNNNNNNNNNNNNNNNNNNNNNNNNNNNNNNNNNNNNNNNNNNNNNNNNNNNNNNNNNNNNNNNNNNNNNNNNNNNNNNNNNNNNNNNNNNNNNNNNNNNNNNNNNNNNNNNNNNNNNNNNNNNNNNNNNNNNNNNNNNNNNNNNNNNNNNNNNNNNNNNNNNNNNNNNNNNNNNNNNNNNNNNNNNNNNNNNNNNNNNNNNNNNNNNNNNNNNNNNNNNNNNNNNNNNNNNNNNNNNNNNNNNNNNNNNNNNNNNNNNNNNNNNNNNNNNNNNNNNNNNNNNNNNNNNNNNNNNNNNNNNNNNNNNNNNNNNNNNNNNNNNNNNNNNNNNNNNNNNNNNNNNNNNNNNNNNNNNNNNNNNNNNNNNNNNNNNNNNNNNNNNNNNNNNNNNNNNNNNNNNNNNNNNNNNNNNNNNNNNNNNNNNNNNNNNNNNNNNNNNNNNNNNNNNNNNNNNNNNNNNNNNNNNNNNNNNNNNNNNNNNNNNNNNNNNNNNNNNNNNNNNNNNNNNNNNNNNNNNNNNNNNNNNNNNNNNNNNNNNNNNNNNNNNNNNNNNNNNNNNNNNNNNNNNNNNNNNNNNNNNNNNNNNNNNNNNNNNNNNNNNNNNNNNNNNNNNNNNNNNNNNNNNNNNNNNNNNNNNNNNNNNNNNNNNNNNNNNNNNNNNNNNNNNNNNNNNNNNNNNNNNNNNNNNNNNNNNNNNNNNNNNNNNNNNNNNNNNNNNNNNNNNNNNNNNNNNNNNNNNNNNNNNNNNNNNNNNNNNNNNNNNNNNNNNNNNNNNNNNNNNNNNNNNNNNNNNNNNNNNNNNNNNNNNNNNNNNNNNNNNNNNNNNNNNNNNNNNNNNNNNNNNNNNNNNNNNNNNNNNNNNNNNNNNNNNNNNNNNNNNNNNNNNNNNNNNNNNNNNNNNNNNNNNNNNNNNNNNNNNNNNNNNNNNNNNNNNNNNNNNNNNNNNNNNNNNNNNNNNNNNNNNNNNNNNNNNNNNNNNNNNNNNNNNNNNNNNNNNNNNNNNNNNNNNNNNNNNNNNNNNNNNNNNNNNNNNNNNNNNNNNNNNNNNNNNNNNNNNNNNNNNNNNNNNNNNNNNNNNNNNNNNNNNNNNNNNNNNNNNNNNNNNNNNNNNNNNNNNNNNNNNNNNNNNNNNNNNNNNNNNNNNNNNNNNNNNNNNNNNNNNNNNNNNNNNNNNNNNNNNNNNNNNNNNNNNNNNNNNNNNNNNNNNNNNNNNNNNNNNNNNNNNNNNNNNNNNNNNNNNNNNNNNNNNNNNNNNNNNNNNNNNNNNNNNNNNNNNNNNNNNNNNNNNNNNNNNNNNNNNNNNNNNNNNNNNNNNNNNNNNNNNNNNNNNNNNNNNNNNNNNNNNNNNNNNNNNNNNNNNNNNNNNNNNNNNNNNNNNNNNNNNNNNNNNNNNNNNNNNNNNNNNNNNNNNNNNNNNNNNNNNNNNNNNNNNNNNNNNNNNNNNNNNNNNNNNNNNNNNNNNNNNNNNNNNNNNNNNNNNNNNNNNNNNNNNNNNNNNNNNNNNNNNNNNNNNNNNNNNNNNNCGACAAUAAUGAAUAUUAUAUCACCACUUGCUUAUUUAAAAUAUUUGCGCAUUUUACCCAUAACUAACCACAUUAAUCAAAUCCACCCUUACUAUUUCAAAAUAAUAAAUAAAGGAAAUUCCUUUUUAUUUAAAAAAAUUUCGGGGUCUUACAUUUUUCGGUAAAUAAGUUAGCAGAUAUUUUUCAACGUGAGAUUGAUAGGCUUCAUAGAACUCCAGUUUCUAUUGUUUUGGAUCGGGAUCCGCGGUUUACUUCUCGAUUUUGGAAAGGAUUUCAACGAGCUUGGAGAACGCAACUCAACUAUAGUACAGCUUUUCACCCGCAAACAGAUGGACAAUCAGAAAGAACUAUUCAGACAUUAGAAGACAUGUUGCGAUCUUGUGCUUUAGAGUGGACAGGGAAUUGGGAUGAUUAUUUGAGUUUGGUGGAGUUCGCAUAUAAUAAUAGUUGGCAAGCUAGUAUCGGUAUGGCUCCUUUUGAAGCAUUAUAUGGAAAGAAGUGUCGAGCUCCGACUUGUUGGGAUGAGGUUGGAGAAACGGUAAUAGAAGGACCUGAUUUGGUUAGGAUUACUACGGAGAAGGUAGCAGUGGCUAAAGAAAAAUUGAAAGAAGCUCGAUCGCGGCAGAAGAGUUAUGCUGAUAUUCAUAGGAGGGCUCUUGAAUUCACGCCUGGUGAACACGUGUUUUUGAAUGUUUCUCCAUGGAAAGGUGUUCGAAGGUUUGGUUUGAAAGGGAAGCUUAGUCCGCAUUUCAUUGGCCCUUUUGAAGUCCUUGAGAGAGUUGGGGAAGUGGCAUAUCGGGUGGCUUUGCCUCCACAGUUAUCUCAUGUACAUAAUGUCUUUCAUGUUUCGGUGUUAAGAAAAUAUAAUUAUCAUCCGUUUCAUAUUGUGUAAUACCCGUUACAUAAGAUUCGAGAAGAUCUUAUUUGUGAGGAGGAGGCUGAGGCAAUUCUAGAUCGUCAAGAACGGAUUAUGAGGAGGAAGACAAUUCCUUUUGUUAAAGUCUUGUGGAAAAACCAUUCGGAGCGGGAAGUUACUUGGGAGAUGGAAGAGUCUAUUCGAGCAGAAUAUCCACAUCUUUUUGAAAAUUAGGUACGUUCUAUUCUUUUGAUUCUGAGGACGGAAUCCCUUUUAAGGGGAAGGUGAUGUAAUACCCAAUAAAAUAAUAAAAUAUUUAUGUGAGCUUUAAAAUAUUUAAUUGGACUUUUCUUAUAUUUGGGUCAAACUGUAGUUAAUUUAUUUGGGCCAUUAAAAUUAAUUAGGUCUAAUUUAUAUUUGUGCCAUUUUAAAUCCUAAUAAAAUUAAAAGUAUUAAUAAAAUAUAUUAAUUAAUAAAUAAACCUAAACCUAACUGCUUUAUUAUAUCUCUGCAAAUCAACUGAAAAAAAGGGGAAGAACUCAGCCGCACGAAAGAAAGUGGAGAAUUGGAACUGGUAAGUUACUAGUUUUAUUUAUAUUUUUUUUGAAUGAAAGCUUUCUUGCUGGGUAUUGUGUCAGGGACUUAAGGGACUUAAGUUUUUGAAUGCAUGUCUGCUCAUUCUAUAUAUAUAUACCUCCUGCAGCAAUGAUUAAUUAAUUCGAAUAUAUAUAUAUAUAUACCAAUACAACGGCUGAUUCAUUGUAUAUAUAUAUAUAUAAGACACGAAAAUUUAAAAACAGGUUAGUAAUAAUUAGUAUUAUAAUAUUAUUGUUAUAAUUAAAAUAUAUCUUUUGAUUACAAAUUGAAUAUAAUAUAUUAAAAUUAUUGAGUUUAUGAAAAUAUAAUUUGUACGAGUUCGUAAUUUAAUUAAAUGCUUUAUAUUUUAUUUUGAUAAUUAGAUCGGAUUGAGGGAGUUUAGCGGGCGAUAUUUAGAUUCGGCGAAUUAUUUCGAUACUACGUUAAGGUACGGAUUCCGUACUUUUUCAGCGAGACUCUUUUAAAUAUAAUUCGUUCGUUUUGUUAUUCGUUUAAAAAUUUGGUAUUGUCUCUCGGGAUUAUUCUUUGUUGUCAAAAUUAUCGAGAUAGUUUCGUUUUGGCGUUGAUAUUUGAAUUCGUAUUUGUACUCUUUGAACUAGUUAAUCGUGUCAAUAUGUUUUGGAGACUUUAUUCGUUUGUACCAUUGUUCGUAUAUUUUCGUUCACACUCGGAGUUGUUUUGAUGAUUGAUAUCUUGUAAUAAUUGAGUAUGUUUGUAUUUGAUAAUUCGAUUUCAUUUGAAUAUGGUCAUGUAAGCCUUGUGAUUUGAACCCCUUUUGGCUUACAUUUUGUAGUUUGAUCCUUAGGGUAUACUUGAGCUAACCACCUGUGGGGGUACCACAGGCAUGUCCUCUUGACACAAGGGCAUGACACCUUCCGUGGCGGUGUGAUCAGUCCACGGCGUAUCCUUUUGUAUGCUCUGGGUAUGAGCUUUGGCCAUUUGAUAUAUUUGUUCAGGAUACGUAUGGGUCGACCCAGUAUUUGAUUUGAUUCGAUUUGUUUGGCAGAUUAGUGACGUAUGUGUCGUGCGUACUAUCCGAUUUGAUUUGUAUACAUCAUGGUACCGAUGUAUUUUGUUAGCCUUUGGCUAUUUGUAUUUGAGCUCAGUAUGAAAUUGUUAUCUUACAACCAUUUGACUCAGCCUUAUUUGUUUGUGAUUCUUUUGGCUAUAAUUAUUCGAUUGACAGUGUUAGUCAUUUGUAAAUGGAUUCUCAAAUUUUGAUCUAUUCGUAAUUCGAUCGUUUGUAAUUUACAUGUGUUCAUUCAUUCAAUUCUUUUAGAUUCAUUAUUUAUUGUGAUAUAUUUAUUCAUCUUCAUAUCUGUACUGGGCAAUUGACUCAUGCUGUGUUCUUUUUCCGACAGGUAAUCAGGAGUGAUCAGGAUUUGUGGGAUGAGAGCUACCUUUGAUCCAAAUGAGUAGAUUAGCCUUUGAGAUUAUUACUAGACUUGGUCUUUUCUAAUAUUUUGUAAUUGAAUGUUUUGGGGCCUAUUUUGUUAUUUAUUUUUUAUUAGUAGAGAUUAUGUAAAUGUGAAGUUUUUUCUAUUUAAUCAGAGUAUAUGAUAUUUGAUAUUAAAUUUUAUUGGAGAUAUUUUAAAAUUUAUUAGAAGUUUGUAUUUAUUAUAUUUGUGAGUAACAUCCCUUUUCGUUUUGGCAAAGGGGGUGUUACAGUUUUGGUGGAGUGUGUGUUGGUAAGACAGAGAUGAUGAGUUUAGGUAAAGAAAGAGAGGAGUUGAUGAUAGAGAUGGGACCGGAAGGAAGAUCAAAACCGCCGCUGCACAAUUUCGCGAUGCCGUGGCUGAAGUGGGGGUCUCGAAAAGUUAUGAGGUGUAUGAAGGUCGAUAAUUCAAAUGGGGAAGUACCGGCGUCGGCUUUCGAUCAUAGGAGAUCUUCUGAAAGAAUCUUGAUCGGACGUUGCAGAGAUUCGGAGCUUGAGCGGCGUGGAUCGACUGAUCAUCGGAGGAGAGAAAAUUUCAAAUUUUCGUCCUCUCCGGCGCCGGCGGAGGUGGUUGGGGGUUCCGGAAGGAAAUCGAAGCAUUCUGACGACGGAAUUGAGGCGGUCAGGGAGAAACUUAUGUUUGAUUUGCAGACGGCGGCGGAUAGGAUGAAAGAUGCUAUUUUAAGGGAAGGUUUGGAGGAACAAGAGCCCCCGGCGGCGUCGAAUGCUUCGUCCGCGAACGAUGCAUUAAGGCCUUGGAAUUUGAGGACUCGACGAGCUGCGUGCAAGGAGCCGCCGACGAACGGAAUCAGCUACGGCGGCGGCAAUGGCGGCAAUGGCGGCAAUGGCGGCAGAGGAGGGAUGAGUUUUCAGGCCGAUGUUCUGAAACCUAUUUCUUCGCCGCUGAAAACCGAAGCAACCAAAUCGCUGAGGUUGUUGCGAGGAAGUGCAGUUGCCACCACGGCUGCCGCCGCUUCGGCGAGCGGUGAGAAGAGGGAUAGAACCAAGUUUUCCGUUUCGCUUUCCCGGCAAGAGAUUGAGGUUGACUUUAUGACCAUGGCAACGCACAGAUUGCCUCGGAGGCCCAAGAAACGCUCCAAGAAUGUUCAAAAGCAAUUGGAUGUAAGUAGAAUAAUAUCAUUCCAUUUCAAUUCACUCAUAUUACAUAUACUAUGUAUUUCUCUGUUAAUUAAACGAUAACAGUGAUGUCUAAUUCACUGUUCUAUUGACGUUUGCAGAUGCUCUUUCCGGGAUUGUGGUUGACGGAAAUUAAUUCUGACUUUUACAAAGUUCCUGAUGCCCCCGAGACUGAAAAUGUGAUUAUUUUAAUUCUCUGUUUUAAUCCAUUUUAAUUUUGGUUAAUAGUAUUCUUAAUCCAUUUUAAUAAUAUUCUCAAUCCAUUUUAUUUGCAGAGGUAGCAAUGGGAGAGGUGUUGCUGUUGUUUCUUGGACUUUGAAGCUUGUUAUGUUGAAUGACUAAUGUGUGACCAUUAAUCAGUGAUAGAAUACUUGUUCACCCGUGUGAAUUUGGGAAUUUAUUCAAAGCGUUAAUUCCUCCCGGUAACAUCUGGUGGUGUAAGCUUAGUUGAGUUUGGGAUGCUAAUUUUGUUAAUUAUAAUGGAAUUUGUUAAUAUGUCCUUUUGAUUAUCAAUGAAUAAGAUAUAUGGAUUGCUUGAAAAUAUUGCUUUAUGAUAGAGUUUAAUUUUUUCAAGUACUUACCUAACUAGAGUUGGUUCUUCAGUUCUGCUCAAUUGUACCUGAACUUGAGAAAUUUAUGAUUUGCUAGAUGCUAAUUUGAAGUUGACGAUAUUAGUUCAUUUUUUUAUGAGGAAGUGGAUGAGAUGUGAGCAGUGUUGCUUAUAUGGUUUUAUGGAAUGGGUUCUUAAGCUUGAUAUCAAUGUAAAGAGUAGCUCUACUUGUUUGGUAAUUGUUAUUAUUGAUAUCGUGACACUAUAAAUUAAAAGCAAUUCUAUAAUCACCUUGAUCAGGCUGGGUACCUUUUUUCAUUUGUAUUAUCUGCUGUGGUUUUGCUAUGCUAUAGGAAGACGAGUAAAAAUACUAUUUCAUAAUUAAUUAGUAAUUAGUACCGUUUGUUGUUUCUUCAGAAUCUGUGCUUCUCCUUAACUUUAUUAUUGAUUCUUUUCUUUGUAUUUCUAUUGUUGGUGCAUAGUAUUAAUUGGAAAAGAAAGAACAGAAGAGGAGCUACUUCUUACUUGCAAAAAUAAAGCCUGUUUGUGAUUUAGGUGAAAUAUUUUGGAAAGCAUGUCGCAAUUGUACAUCCUUUAUAUAUUCCCCGGCAGCUAGCUUAAAUUUGAAAACGUCCCUUGGCUUUGAGUUAUUGGUGGUGGGUUUUUUCAACAACUACAAGAGCAGCUCAAGCUUUUACAUUUACUGUUCACUAGUAAUCACCAUCAAAACCAUUUGAUAUGAGGAAGUUCUUGUGUAUCAUGAGAUACUCUUGCCCUUGCAUUUGUGAUAGCAGGGUUAGUGAGGAUUGCGAACAUUGAUAGAUGCCUAAUGUCUCACCUUUUUACUUUCUUUAUUUGUCACUGUUAAAUCCAUUAAGAUAUAGUAGUUAUAGUCUUUCAAUUUUUCUUUUUGCUUUUAAUAUAUAAAUGUAAGUUGUGUAGUUGAUUAGUUUUUUGUUUGAUGACGUUGAGACUAGAAGUUGUGCUUGAUGUAGGUGGUGUUUAUUUCGCCUCGCUUCUCCUCUUCUCUUGUAAAAGAAUUUACUAACAAUUGUGAAAUUACUAAUACAUUUUUUUUCAGUUUCUAUCUUGUAAUGAAGUGUUGAGAAUGUUAUUCAAGACGAUUAUUUCUCUUCGGAUUCUAGUACAUUCAUUUCUAGAUUAGGAUAUACAUGUUUUGGUGUGAUUACAGUCGGUCGCAGCUUAGCUGGUGUUUCAAUGUUUCCUAUAUUAUGCUUUGUAUACUGUUUCAUUAAUUCCUUGAAAAAGUUUAUUUAUUCAAAUUGCACUAUGCUUUUGUUAUGUGGUAUGGGUUGCUGAUGUUCCUUUUCAAAUUGUUAGAACAGUCUUGUCUUGUAUUCAUUUCACAGUUAGCUAGCUAGCAUUUGAAUAUUUGCAAAUGGAAGUGCAUUUGGUUGAUUGAGUAACUACUCCCUAUUACUAGUGUUGUUUUAGUCUUAUUAUUAUGUUGUAUGUGGAGUAAUUUUUAUUUGUUAGGAUCGUUUGGUGGUUGACCGUUAAUAUAGGGAAAGUGGAGGGAAAAAUCUUCAUUAGCCUAACAAUUUGACUUUGUUAGGUGAGCCAGGAUGGAUUUGACUCGGCAAGAUGAUUAACUAACUAACUAAUACGAGUGGGACUCAGUCUCUAAAUAGUAAAUACUACUCCAUCUCUUGUUUUUGUGGACGACUACUCGUUCUCAAGGUUUACCAGCCGUGCACUGCAGGAUACCCACUUUUCCAGCCUUUGCUUUUAGUGUAGUUGGCUACCCAUCUACUAUAAUCUUAUCUGGCCGGCCCUUUUCAAUUCAGGAUACACUGAUGCUUGCGGGUGCGACAUCAAUCAUUUAUGCGCCAAGAUUGAUCUGCUUUCAGUUGUACAAAACAAAAUAUAUUCUUGGGCUUCAUCAUUCAUCCCUUAGAUUAUUUAAUGUUGUAUCAGAAACUCUAGCCUUUUUUCAUACUUCUUGAUGGGUUGGGCCACAAACUCGAUAUUUCCUGGGCCAGUGAAUUGGGUUGUAUGUAGGCCUAAGACACAAGGUCCAACCGUGGCCUAAAGCCCUGGUUAGGCUUGAACCAGACCAACAAAGCGAAUUUAGUAUGUAUGUACAGGUGGAAACAAAGUUUUUUCUUUUGCUAUUUUCCAUGCACAUCACAAAUUAUCGCUGGGCUAAGAAUCAUACGGCGCGUUUGCCCUUUACUACAACAAGUCUACUAAGUGGUAACCAUUUCAUUUCAAAAUAAUUGUCAUUUAGUAGUUGGUGCUUACUACUCAAUCGUACAUUUUUAGUGAUUAGUGUAAUUGUAUUAAGUAGAUAUGAAAUGGCUAUUUUCGAUCGGGAAUAUAAAGUUAUCAAGAAUCCAAUGCUACAUGAAUAACAAUAAAUCAAUCAAAGUAGGAUCAGUUAAUCUGAUGAUUUAAUAAAUUCUUGAAUCAAAACUUUAAGGUUAAAGCAGAUCUUAAAAUAAAGAUGGCCCCUGGUACCUCUAGUUAGGCUAAUACAAACAAAUAUGUUUACUAGCUAUAUUUGCAAGCUAAACUUAAGAAGGACUGAAGGACCCUCAAUCAUUGAUUUGUUUAUAGUAUCCUUUCUCAGAUCCAAAACACUUCAAAAAAAAUUAAAAAAAUGGAACCGCAUUUGUUAACGGAGAAAGGCAAGUCCAAAGAUAACUUGAAAGUUGCAAAGGAACAAAAAGACAGCCACAUGUAAUUAUGAUGAUGCCAGAAAAAUCAAAAAGAGAAGAAAUCAAAGCAUGAGAAUUGACAUAAAAGAAGGAUUCCUUUUUCUCUGUCCCCUAAACCUUUGACAUGUUGAUGAUAUACAUCAACCUACCAAAGCAAUCUACUCUUAUAUGUAAAUCUACCCUAACCAAAAAUACACCUUUAGUUCAUUAAGCUUUUAUUUUGAACUCAAAAUAUGUGUUACUAUGCAACUAUAUAUAUAUAGGAGAGUAUAUAUAUUAUUAAUAAACAUGAUGUAUGUACACGAAAUUUUACCCUAUACUAAUUAUAUGAAUCAUUUUUUUUUCUUUUUUGACUUGCCAUUACAAAAAAAUGAACCAAACCCAAACAAAUUUGCCGUCCCUUUGGAAAUGUAGGACGGUGGAAUGUUCAAAAUAGGAUUUAUAAUUCUAACUCCGCUGCUAUAUGAUCUACAGUUCUUCAGCGACGGAGGCCUUCCCGACGAAUUAUAAAACUGAUUAUUAUAUCCACUAAAAGGCGGAGCAGGCUGCUGAUUAGAACAUGUAAAAGUAGACUGCUUCUGGGAAUGCUUCUUUGGAGGAGUAACCUUUGGUAAACGUGUUUGUUUCGAGUUUGGAGCAGAGCCGGUUGAAUUGCUUCGCGCAAGAAUCUGUAAAGAUCGAAUCAACCCUUUACUUCGGCCAUUAUCACAAUUUAGACUAGCGCUUCGCUUGAACUGCCAAAAUGAUUUGGACGCAGGCUUUUCUUCUUCUUCUUCUUCACUGCUCUCAAAUAAAAAUUCUUUCAACCUUUUCUUCUUCGUAUCUUGAUCAUUUGUAUUCUCCCAAUGUAAUGCUGUAGUUGUAGUUUUAGAAGGCUGAGGGUGUACUAAGAUUGGCUCGGACAGAUGAAUUUCUUUCUUGGUGGUUUUAUGUUUCUUGAUUUGAGUUGGAAGGAUCUUGCCAUUGGAAAAGAGCUCAUCCGCCGAUGAAAUUUCUUGCACAGAGCUUUUAGUAGUAAUGCCGAAAUCAAAAUCAGUAGUGAAGUCUAGCAGCAACGCAUCCGAUCUGCGGUGAAAACAUUCAAUUGGGACAACAUCAGUUUGGUUGAGAUCAUAAGAAAAAGAGAUUCUUGGACUUGCCACUAAGCUCGAAAUCUCUGAGCAUACAUCAACUGCCAUAUUUCCCACUAUCACAACUGGUACUUUUUAAGAGAUCAGGGAGAUUUAUACGACUGGCAAUACAAAGAUCACGAAUGUUGUUCUGAUUUGGAAGUCAGAUAAAGAAGAAGAAGAAGUAGUAUGCUGUGUGUGAGAAGUGAGAAGUGAGAACAAGAGUCAGCUUUUGCUUUUAAAGUUAAAAGCUCGAGAGAAUUUGAAAGAUUCCAAUAGUUGGGAGUUCAGAGUAUGUUUCUUACUAUAAUGGAGUAUAUGCUUAUAUGCUUUGAGGCAGAGUAAUGUUGAGUUUUUUACAUUGUGACAAGUGAUGAGGAAAAAACGGAUAAAGAGGGGAAAAGAGUGGAAGUGAUUGAAAUUGGUGCACCGAAAGGCUACAAGUAAAUGGAAAGAGGGGUAGGAUUAUCUUCUUUUCAAAUAAAUGGAGAUUUUUCAUUUCAUGAUUCACAUUUAAAAUUAUCUUUUUUUCUUUCACCAGUAUGAUGUCACGUUAACACAUUUUAAAUCUAGAUUGGCCAUGAGGUCCGGUCAAGUUUAUCUGGCAAGUGUUACACAAGCAAAAACUAUAAAACUAUGGGGCUACCUGAAAAACCAAAAAUUGAAUAGGUAAACUCAUAAAUCUCUCAAAUGGCUCUUGAAGCUCUGAAUUAAUUCACCAUUUUGUUCCGCUUUUCUUCUUCAGAUCAAGAACACAUAUUAUAAUUAUAAUUAUAAAUUUUUAUUUAUAUAUUAUAUAAAGAAUUAUGUGUACAUACGCAUAGGUAGUUUUUUUUAAGAAAAUUCUUCAAAAUUUUAAUUGUUUAUAAUGGUGCCGCAGAAUAUUAUGGUGACAGGAGAAGCAUGAUAUAUUGAAAGUUUUUAUUAGGGGGUUAUAAGGCAAUUGUGGUAGAUAAUUCCUCAAAAAUUUUUAUCAACCGAGUAAAAAAAACUCGCUAGUGAUUUUGGUCCAAAAUUUUCCUUUCAUCAUGUGAGUUUUUCUUUUUUUCAAUGCUUAAUUUUUUGUUACACUUAUUUGGAGGUUAUAAAGAUUGUAAUUUUCUAUUAGUUUCAUUUAUUUACAUUGGAAAGAAUGAGUGAGUAUUAUUGGUGAAUUUAGAUCUUUUUACAACUAUUUAAGAAACUUAUAUUUAUUAUUCGGCAUCCGUAGUGUAAUAUUGCGGAGUCUAAAAAACAAAAAAAAAAUGAAUUUGACCAAUACGACGUCAUUUCUCAAUUGGUCAAUCAUACUUAGUGUUUGAAAUUUAAUACUGCAGACGAUAAACUUUUACAAUGAGGGUAUUUUGUACAUUUGUCUCGUCCGCAGUAUUAAGUUGUGGAAUACUGAAAAGUAAAUUGCAGACGUAGGCUAUAUCAAUCGUUCGAUAUUCGGAUAGACGCUCAAAAUCGUAUAUAUAUAUAUAUAUAUGUGUGUGUGUGUGUGUGUGUGUGUGUGUGUAUUUACUAUGAAUACUUAUAGAGUAUAUACCAUCUAUACUAUUAAAAAUAAAAAAGAACAACAAAUAUUAUAAAUUAAAAAUAAACGUUCGCUACUAUUAGUAGCGGACAGUAAAAAAAUACUUAGUGGUCACUACUAAUAGUAGCAUACGUUUAUCAGAAUGAGUUUGACAUUACCAAUAAUAUUUAGGAUUUAUUAAUCAGGAUUUAAGGUUUAAAAAUCAAGGUUUAGAUUAGAGUUUACAAUUAUAUAUCCGCAAGUUGUACUUUUUCAAAUUUAAUAAAUUUUAAACCCUUAUUAAUAAACCCUUAACAUUAGUUUAUAAACACUAAUUAAUAAACUAUAAACCAAGGUUUAGAGUUUAUUAAUUAGGAUUUAGGGUUUAUUAACUAGAAUUUAGAGUACAAUUAUGUAUCCGUAACAUGUAAUUUCUCAAUUUUAAUAAACUCUAAACCCUGACUAAUAAACCUUAAACCUUGGUUAAUAAAUCAUAAACCCUUGUUAAUAAGUCAGACCUCCAUUCUUAUUAACAUUCGUUAUUAGUAAUAAUGGAGGCUAAGUGUUUUUUUUACUAUUCGUUACUAUUAGUAGCAGACAUCAAUUUUCAGUUUCUAAUCAUGACUGAUCUUUUUUAUUUUCAAUUGUAUAAAUAAUAUAUGUAUUAUAAAGAUCCAUAACAAAUACAUGUUAUGUAUGAUUACCCUUCUAUAUAUAUAUAUACUCCUCCAUCCUUACUAACUUUAAAAAAUUUACAAAAUGAAACUGAGAUGAUGUGUUGAAAUUUAUGUAUUCUAAUUGAAAACUGAAAACUGAAAACUGAAAAAGGGUGAUGUUUGAUAAAAUUUGGUAAUUAAGAUAUGAAUGGUUAAUACAUCUUAAUAAAUUAGAUCAUCUGAAUGAAAUAGUAUCUGAAUUUAAAAAAUUGUUUGAUAACUAAAAAGUGUAAGAAAUCUGAAUGAUACUAUUUUACCAUUUCAACUCUAUAUAUGGGUUAUUUAAAAUUAUUAUUUGAAUGAUCUUAAAAUUUGAAAUUGAAGUAGUAAAAUAUUUAUUGAGGCUAUUUUUGUCUAUAAAUUUUAAAUAAACUAUUAAGAAAGAACUCUUAAUAAUUAAGAUUUGAGUUUCUGUCUUAACGAUUAAGAGGCAUUAAGAAGAAGAAAAAAUUAUCAAACAAGAUUUGACUCUGAUCGAUCGAAUCAGAGACAUGAAUUAAGAGGUAUUCAGACACAAACAAACCCCACUUAAUAUAUUAAAAUUUGUUGUCAAAAUUGAGUUAUAACUUUUAGUAAUGUUCGAGUUUGGAACAAAUCUUGGGUCAAAUUUCAAGUCCGAAUCGAAUCAAUCCAAAAUAAGGUCUCAAAUUACUGACUCAAUAGUAUCUUCUUGGGUCAUCUUAGCCAUCUACAGGCUCACUCAAAAAGUAAUAACUUGAAAGUACUAUUGGUAGUAACUUAUUUCCUUCUACACAUAUAAUUUUUUUUUCUUAUCUUUUGAUGUGAAACUGAGGUGUUACAAUAACCUUUUGAAAUGAGAAUAUAUAUGAUUUUAGAAGAAGAUUCUGGUAAAAAAAAAUUAACUUUUCUGCAUUGCAAGAAAUUGUGCUAGGUUUUCUUAAUGUUGUUCAUAACCUUUUGAAAUGGACUAUUUUAGGACUUAAAAAGGAGGGUUGUAGUAUCAAAUUAACUUACUAUUGCACUGCAACAUAAAUAAAUGUUCAUCUUGACAGUGUAGUACUUUGUCUUUUCAGUCAGUUUGUAUAAAAAUUUGAUAAACUAACAAAGGUAUUUUGGUGGACAAUUGAUGGGCUUCUUGGGGAUUGGGCUCCUGUUAUAAAAUAUCUUGGGCAUUGAAGCGUCAUUCCGUACCAUAAUAUUUGAUAGUCCAAGAAAUUAGCCCAACUGCGGCCAUACGCCUCCGAACUGCCAAACAGGCCUAUGCCGAAGCGAGCAAUCUGGUCCAGGCCUCCUUUAAAUUUAAUAAAGAAAUGUUUACGUAUAAAUUGUUCUACUUUAUACGUAUGUAAGUGAAUCUAUUGGGAUUCAGUACUUUCCUUGGGCUUCAAGUCUUCUUCCAUUAGAAAAUAAAAAAAUCUUUAAAGGGUUUGACUACUGUAAUAUGGUUGACUGACUCAAAUGUGCAGAUAUUUCUCAUAUAUAAUUUAAUUUUAAUUUUAAAAUUUAAUGGGUUGACUUGGUUGGUAUAUGAAUUCAUAAAUAGUGUCACAUAUAUAGAUAUAAACACAUACUUUUUAAAAAAAAUUAUUGAGAAAAAGGAGGGGGAAAAGUUCAAAACUCUAUAACAUUAACUCUCACGUUCAAUCAAGUAAUUAUUCUUCUUCUAUGCAAAAUUAAUUAGGGAUACUUCUAACUCCUUAAAAAUUUAAUUUAUAAAAUUUGAAAUAUAUUGCAGUUAAAGAUGGUUUAUGAAUUUUAACAAAAAAAUCCUUACAAGUUUCCACACUUUACUUAAGUUUAACAAUGUCCAAAUAUAUAUAGUUAGUGAAUUAAUAAAUUAAUUAACAAUACAUAUGUAUUACUUUAUUACUAUUAAACUCAAAUGUCAAUUAUGAAUUAUUAUACUUACCUAUUAAGUGCAAACUUCAAAAUUCAUCCAAUUCUCCCCCAACCCCGAAUUGAGGCGUGUACCAUUCUUUGUUAAGCUAUAAACUUUGACAUUAGUUAAUUUUAAUUAGUAAAGUGUAUUGAUUUAUCAAAAUUAUUGUCAAAAGGGUAAUAAUAUCUACCCAUUUAUCUAUAUUAGUUAAUGUUGAGAUUAACUUAUAUUUUUAGUGGAUAAUAUAAAUGCCAACUACGAUGAUAUAGUUCUAGUUUAAGUUUGACAGCUAGGGAUGUUUAAUUAUUAUAUAAAUAUUAUUUGGUGUGUAAAUUAUUAUAGAAUAUGAGAGACAUAUAUAGAGAUAUUAGAAAAGUAGAAUUUGGUGAAUAUCAAUAUAUUGUGUAUUAUUAUUUUUUUAAAUAAUUUAUAUUACGUUUUAGUUAUUUUGUAAGUUAUUAUAAUCUAUGUUAUAUUUUUUGGUUCCUAAUUUAUGCUAUUAUAAUAGGGAAAAAUGUAUAUACACAACUGUGUAGUACAUGGUCGCUUAUGAACCGUCGCCAUAGUUCAAAAAAACCGUCGUCAUAGCACGACUGUAUACUAUACAACUGUACAUAUAGCCCGUUAUAAUAUAUACUAAACUAGAUAAAAGAUAUUUACUCAACAGCAGUAAGUCAAAAUAUUCAUCAAAAGAUUGAAAUGUUUAGGAUCACAAUUCUCAUGUACUAGGUUCAUAUAAUUACAAAAAAAUAUCGUUAUAUAUGAUUUUAUAGUGACUAUUUUUACCGUCUCUAUAUUUUUAUAGUCAUAUAAAAAUAUCAUAAAAUGUCGUGUAAAUAUUAAUUUCCAAUUAGAAAACAUCAAUAAAUUGGUUUAAAAACCCCGAAUAAUACUAUUGGACCAUUGGUAUUGGGUCAGCCCACUGCCAGUUCUGCUCGUUGGCGAAAUUCUAACAGCUGGCUCUUCUACUAGCUUGGUAUAUAGAUUAUGUUCUUAAAAACUCCAUUACUACUUUACCAGAGGUCCAGAACACACAGAACACUCAAUUACUAUCAGGUUUCUGUAAUUAGGGUUUUACUUAAAUAUAAGGGUUUUAAUUAGUGACAGAGACAGGGAAGUUUGUGGGGGAAGAUGGUGAUAGUAGAAAGUGAUAAAGCUGUAGAGCUGUUUCUGAAGAUCGGAUUGGAUGAGCGUACAGCCAAGAAUACUGUGGCUAAUAACAAGGUUACUGCCAAUCUCUUGGCCGUCAUUAACGAGGUACUCACCCUUUUAUUGCCCUAAUAUCGAAUUAGUAAAUUCAUUAUAGUCGUUUUGGUUGCAAAAAUUGUUCAGGUCCUCCAGGAGAAACAAUAAAUUAGGAACUGCAGUUAAAAUGAGCUAAAAAAGCUAGAGAAAAAAGAAAAAGAAAAAGUGGGAAUAUAAAAAGCUAGAUUGUAAUUUAAUUUUUUCUUUCUCCUCAUAUAGUUUCACUCUGGUUUACUUCUUUCUUAAUUUUUUUUUUUUGUGUGUUUGGAUUUUUUGAAGGGUGUAAUUAUAUUUUAAUGUCCUACCUUUUUCAGGCAGCUGUAACUGAUGGAUGUGAGAGGUCUAUUGGAAAUCUUAUUUACACGGUAUGUGUGUUUAUCUGUUCCAGAUUAUUGGAGUUGAAGUAACAACUUGUGAUACUAGUAGAUUAAUUUUAAGUUACAGGUUGCUACAAAGUUCCCAACAAAUGCCCUUGUUCAUCGGCAGAUGCUGCUUAGAUACAUUGUCACGUCGAAGGUAUGGAAGUCAAUUUUCCUCUUUCAUUUACUCCCUCGGUCCCAAAUUAAUUGCUCAGUUUUGACUUUUUUAAGUCAAAUUAACUAUUUUUAGAAUUAAUAAUUAAGCAUAUAUAAAUAUAUUUCUAAAAUUAUAAAAAUUGGGAUUUGUAAUAAAUUGUAUAUACUUUCUUUUGGUUAUAAUCUUUUCACCUAUAUUUAGCAAAAAUAGUAAAAAGAUUAGUUUUAAAAAUGGUCAAUUUGACUUUAAAAAGUCAAAACUGAGCAAUUAAUUUGGGACGGAGGGAGUAUUUAUUUGCAUCAGUCAUUAUUUUCUUAAAUACUCUUAUACCGAUUCUACUAAAAAAACAACCCUUGCUAGAUCCUAAGUAGUUAGUAGUUACUUAGGUUGUUCUAUUAUUCAAUCAGAGUUAAACACUCUUGCAGAUUAAAACCCCAGCUCAGUUAGAGGCCGCUUUUACAUUCCUUUCAGCUACUGCUUCAGAGAAUUUAAAGGUCAAUGAAUUCAAAGAGAUUUGUGGAGUUGGUAUGAUAAUCAUUCAUUAUUUUGACUUUAUGUAUAACUCUUAUGGUUGGUUAAAUUGCUGUUGUAAACUUAAACUCAAGAACUCUAAUUAGUGCCUUUGACAAUACCCUUAUAUGAUCUAAUUGUAUAUUAAAUUCAAGAAUUUGUGUGUUUUUUAUGUGAUCUGAUUGUGUAUAUGUAACUAUAUAUGCCAUUUGGUCUCUUUUAUUAAAUACCUUGCAUUCUGAGAUUUCCUAUUUGGACUAAUAAACCAUUAUAUUCACCUGUUCCCUUGUCUUUACAAACAUAGAUAAUGAUGUAUGAUGAUUAUUUCCGUCACACUAUAUAGAAGAAAACAAACAAAUGGAACAGAAAAGUUGUGUCUGCAUGCAUCUGUGCUUGGGGUGUGUAACAAUUUAGUGUACCUCUAUCGAGAGGAUUAAUUUAUGAAGGUUUAGAACACAACUUUGUUGCCAUGCCUUCUAAUCAAAUGCCAGUCAGAUUUGGUUUAUUACAUUUUUUUGUGCUGGGGGUUGGUACGGAGACUCAAAGAGUCAUGGACUUGUUGAAUAUGAAUUCAUGAUUUUUAUGCAUUGAAAUUCAAUCUCGACUUGUAUGAUUAGGUCUCUACGAUUGUGAGGAGCGGCUUCGCCAGUUAUGUACAUCAUUUAGUUUGUUCUAAAAACAUGGGCUUAUAUACUGAAUUUGAGUGGCUUUAGUUCCUUGGCAAGUGAACCGCACACACAAAUGUUGUCUACCUAGUUUGACAGAGAACUUAGGACUCGGGUUCUCACUAUUUGUUAAAAUUUGAUUUUAUUAUGUUAAGUUCUUUCUCAUAAAAUUAAUAAAUGAUAGAAUGAAACUUUUCAUUUGCUUACAGGAAUUGAGGUAUCUCUAGCGGACACGGAACGAACUGUAGAUAAAAUCUUUGAAGAAAACAAGCAUACUAUAAUAGAGCAAAGAUAUCGAACAAAUGGUAGGUGCUUCUCGUCUGAAAUGCUCAUGAAGUUUUUCUCCUUAAUUUUAUAUCGAUACUGGACCAUGUUUUCCAAGGUAAAAUACAGAAAUUGGUACAUAAUUCUAUACUAUUAUAUCCUUACUUUGCUCUUCUUAUUGUUGAUGAAGAGAUUUGAGUUCUCAAUAUUAGAUAUCUUCAUUUGGAUGACAAUCCUUCACCUGAUUGCUAUAUUAGCAACCUGCUUAUUCCAGUAACUUUUUUGUUAUAUAUAUAUAUAUUGCAUGGUGCAUAGUCUAGUAACUCUAGUUUUUCCAACCGGCCUUGGAUGUCUAUAAUUUUAAAGCAAGAUUUUAGCUUUGCAAUUAUUUUUUGUCUAGUUGGUGAACUUUUUGCUCAUGUUCGGAAGAGGCAGCCAUGGGCAGAUCAGAAGAUUGUUAAGGUAGUAAUUCACCUUUACUCUUCCCCCUCCCCCACCCCAAAACACGAAACAAGGCAUUAAAAUCAUUUGCUUGGAUGUUUCUUUCUGUAACAGCAACUGGUAGAUGCAAAAUUGUAUGCAUUACUUGGUGAAAGGACUGUCGUAGAUAAUGAGAAACCUGUUAAAAAGAAGAAAGAAAAGCUUGUCAAAGUAGAGGUGAGUAAGGCUACAUUUCUUUCGACUAUUGUCUACCUAUGCUACUUAAGAAAAGUUAAAAUAUAUGCACUAGUAUAUCUUAUUUUCAUUUUAUGUAGGAGAAAAAUACUGUUGAAGAUACUCCCCUUCCAAAACCAUCAGAAGAAGAACUGAAUCCAUAUGCAAUAAGAUGAGACUCGAAAAGUGUUAUACUAUAAGCCUGUCAUCUUCAACUUUGAUCUCUUACAUGAGAUGAGACUCGAAAAGUGUUAUAGUGAAAGUGAAAUUAAGCUAGGUAAAUAGAUCAUGGUUACAUUUUGCUACUGGAGCUGUAUGUUGCAUCAUUCUUUUUAUUUUUUGUUCAUCUAACAUUGUGAAUUGUGAUGAUACUUAUUUUACUUUUAAAUGGGGAUAUGAACUGAAUAAUGUUCUCAUGACCGUGUUGCCGGAGUACCAGUGUUUUGGCAAAUGAUAGGAUAGUUAUUGUCUUAUGCUUUUGACACAUUAAUUUUACGUGUUGAUUACUAUUAUGUGCUUAUUUGGUCCAAGAUUUUGAUUUUUAAGAGUACAUUAUUUCUUUUAUCUCAACUCUAAUUCCACUAAAUAUAUCUACCUGGUAUUUGUAAUUUUGUGUUGCGAUUCGUAACUCUCUCUAUCCAUAGGUGCAUACUGAAGUUUUUUUCAGUGACCGUCCUGUGCUCAGAGCUUGCAAUACAAAGGAAACACUAGCAAAGCAUUUGAAGGCAACAGGUGGAAAAGUUUUAACGCGCUUUCCACCUGAACCAAAUGGUUAUCUGCAUAUAGGUCAUGCCAAGGUAAGCAUAAUUUAUAAUUCAAGCACUUGAUAUCUCUGUUCUUUCUAAGACUUCUAGCUUUUUUCUUCUAGCCUAUUUGUUUUGGUACAUAAGAUUUAUAGUUAUUACAGUCAUCUGAUAAACAAGUCUGCAGGCUAUGUUUGUUGACUUUGGCCUGGCAAAAGAAAGAGGUGGAGGCUGCUACCUCAGGUGUGAUCUCUACCUUAGCAUAUUGACAUGUGUUACUAGUCUAUUAUUGUUCUUUCAAAAUUUGUUCUUUAGAUGUCUAAUAUAUGUUUCUGGCACAAUAUCAAUGCCUGCUUACAAAAUGAACAUACUUUGAUUGGGAGACCAACAAUGAUUUGGUAGUUGCAUGUGCAAAUGCUGCAUCUCUGUGACCUAGAACAUUUUUCCUCAUGUAAUCUUACAGAUGUAUUUUAAACUGUUCGUCUUUAGGAAUAAUAUUAUCGGUAAGAGUUGCUUUUGCUACCCAUAUAGUUUUGAAACUUACUAUUAUUACCCUUUUUUCCUUUGUGUGACUUGCCAAAGUGACUAUGGUAAACUGGAUGUUCAAGCAUGAAGUUGCUCUAUGCCAGACUUUUCGAUUCAAAUAAUUUUGGUUCACUAGAAGACUUGAAACUUGAUCAAGAAUGGGAUUCAUGUGAAAAUAUGUGGUGUCUGGACAGAUGAAAUUGCAAAACCAAAGUUUCUUAACUGAAUACGAAUGAAUUUAUUAUAGGAGUUGCUUAUAUUACCUCAACUUAUUUUUUUUGAUACAUAUGAGUUUUCAUUAUUGUAAUUAGAAGAAAUGGGAAUGGAUCAAUAUGCGUUUUAUGUUGUAAUAAAAAGGAAAUGUUCAUUAUUGUCUCUCCGACAUAAUGAAUGUAAUCUGGUGAUAUUUACACUUUAGAGUCUUCAUAUAACUUGGAAUCUUUUGUGGAAGACUAGAGUUCCAUAAUUUUUAGUGGAAGACUUUGCACAAUUUUAAAGUCAUUGUCGACUAAAGGAAAGACAAGGAGUUUUAAUGCUUUUGAUUAACUUAGUGCUCUGAUAUAUGGCACUGUUAGGUAUGAUGAUACUAACCCUGAAGCUGAGAGGAAAGAAUAUAUUGAUCAUAUUGAAGAAAUUGUACAGUGGAUGGGAUGGGAACCGUUUAAGGUACAAAUGGAUUUUCUUUAAAGGUGUUUUUUUGCCUUCAGCCUUGGCAGUAUCUUGAUAUUUGUUGGAAGUUUGCAGAUAACAUACACAAGUGAUUAUUUUCAAGAUCUUUAUGAUCUAGCUGUGGAGCUGAUACGAAAGGGACACGCUUAUGUUGAUCACCAGGUUGCUCUUUGGCAUUAUAUAUAGCAUUAUUGCCUGAAGAUCUUAUUCAUAAACAAAAUGAGCAUUACAAACCUUUCGGAUCUUUGUUAUGAUCAUUGUAUUUUAUGAACUUUAGUGGAAUGGAUGACAGUAAUUGCAUGUCUAGUUCUUUAGCUGUUUUAUAUAUUUAUCUCUGCACCACUUAAUUUUUUUAAUACUUUUGUAUUGCUUUAGCUCAACACUAUAACAUUUUAUUUGCUAUCUGAUUUAGACGCCUGAAGAGAUAAAAGAGUAUAGGGAAAAAAAGUUGAACAGUCCUUGGAGAGAUAGACCAAUUACAGAAUCAUUAAAACUGUUUGAUGAAAUGAAACAAGGCAUGAUUGAAGAAGGGAAAGCGACUCUUAGAAUGAAGCAGGACAUGCAGAGCGACAACUUCAAUAUGUAUGACCUCAUUGCUUAUCGUAUCAAGGCAAGUUAAAAUCCCUUUAGACAUUUUUGUAUGUUGAAAUUGAAGGACCUGCUCAUAUAUCUGUGUUUUUGUUUUUGUUCAGUUUACUCCUCAUCCACACGCAGGAGAUAAGUGGUGUAUCUACCCAAGUUAUGACUACGCUCACUGCAUUGUAGAUUCUCUUGAGAAUAUUACACAUUCGGUACGAUCAUUUCUCUGGCUAUACUUUGUUAGCACAUUUUUGUAUCAAUUUCAGAAAUAUUCCUAUUGUCAUUGGGUUAAUAUUUCUCAACAUGUAUUUUAUCUCAAAAGUUAAUAUGUUUUUGUGUAUUUCAAGAUUUUAAGUAAAAGAAAAGUAUAUUUGUUAGAUCAAUUAAUAUAUGUUUCUUCGAUGUAUUUAUGUUCUUGAAUCCAUAUAUUGGUACUUGGUUGAGUCCUUGCCAUUAUUUGUAGAGACUACUAUUUAAAACGUGAAUUUAAGCCAGUUUUCUCUGAUCUUUUUUCCACCUCAGGGAGGCACUGAUCUCGCUUUACAGCUUCUGUCAUUUUAUUUAACAAUCUAAACACAACAUGUGUUUAAUGCACAGCUUUGUACACUUGAAUUUGAGACACGACGUGCUUCUUACUAUUGGUUAUUGGACGCACUUGGCCUUUACCAACCUUUUGUAUGGGAGUAUUCUUGCUUGAAUGUCACCAAUACAGUGAUGUCAAAACGCAAGGUGAGUUGAAGUACUGAAGUAUUUCGUAUUCGAUUGUAGAUGUUUCCGAGUUAUUCUUCUUAUGCUCUUAUACAUACUCAUGCUAGAUCGUGGUAUGCUGUUGCAGUUGAACCGUCUUGUGACAGAAAAGUGGGUUGAUGGUGGUUGGGAUGAUCCUCGUUUGAUGACAUUAGCUGGACUGCGACGUCGAGGGGUCACCUCGACUUCAAUAAAUGCUUUUGUUCGAGGGAUCGGAAUUACCCGAAGGUUUAUUCUGCUUACAGUAAAUGUGCAUGCAUAUAAAUUAUGAUCAUUCCUGCUUACUGUGAUUGUAUACUGAUAUUCUGUGCUGCAGUGAUUGUAGUAUGAUACGUUUGGACCGCCUUGAGUACCAUAUAAGGGAAGAACUAAAUAAAACGUCCCCUCGUACAAUGGUUGUGAUAAAUCCACUUAAGGUCUGAGUCUUGUUUAAAUUCUAUUUUAUGACCAUUCCUUCUAAAUUGUGAUAUUUCGACCAAUUUUCAGUGUUCUUCCUCCGUUUAGGUUGUUAUCACCAACAUGGAAGCGGGUUCAGUAAUGGAUCUUGAUGCGAAGAAAUGGCCCGAUGCCCAAACAGAUGAUUCAUCUUCUUUUUACAAGGUGAGCAAUCCUCUCUAAGCUAAAGUUAGUAAUAUAUUUUCCUGAAUGAUAUUGUUUUCAUCUUUUGAACAUGUCUGUUUCACUUCUUAAUACAUUACCAUGAAACAAAAUCCUUAAUGAAUUUGGUUGGUCCUUUGUCAAUUCUAUCACAGACAACUCUCAGAUGUUAUGGUCUUUUAAUCAAGUUCACCUUUUACGUCAUUGUAGGUUCCUUUUUCCAGUAUUGUGUACAUUGAGCGCACUGACUUUCGAAUUAAAGAUUCUAAGGAUUACUAUGGGCUUGCUCCUGGAAAAACUGUCCUACUCAGGUCCACAUGCUAAUCUUUAUGUGCUUGUGCACUUCAGUUGUAGGCUCGAUACUAUAAAGUUGUUUUUCUGCAUGCAGGUAUGCAUUUCCUAUUAAGUGCACUGAAGUAGUAUUUGGUGAUGAUAAAGAGUCUGUUCUUGAGAUACGCGUGGAAUAUGAUUCUUCGAAGAAGACAAAGCCAAAGGUCACUCUAAAAUUUGCUGUUCACUAGAUGUGAAUGGUUUUACUUUCCAAGGUUUUAUAAAUCAUUUGUUUUAAAUUUUUUCUGUUAUUUUUUUUAAAAUUGCACAGGGGGUACUUCACUGGGUUGCAGAACCUUCACCUGGAGUUGAUCCACUUAAGGUGGAAGUCAGAUUAUUUGACAGAUUGUUUCUUUCUGAGGUUAGUUAUUCCUUUCCGAAGGCUACCAUAAGUAAGUUUGCUGAAUAUAGUUUGACCAGUUUCCAUUAUUGCCUCCAGAAUCCUGCUGAGCUUGAUGACUGGCUUGGUGAUUUGAACCCAGAGUCUAAAGUAGUGAUGCCGUGUGCUUAUGCUGUACCUACACUUCGUCCUGCUGCAGUUGGAGACAGCUUUCAGUUUGAAAGGCUAGGUAAAUUCAAGAACCCCUUGGUUGUUACUUUAGUGAAAUGUUAAAACUUAUGGUUAGGUAUUAUUGGUAUUAGGCACCGUUAUACAUGACAUAUUUCUUAUUUGCCAAAAUAAGAAAAGAAAAAAGAAAAAAAAUAGAAAAGAAAAAAGGAUCAAUAGGCACAUUUCUAUAGGUUCGAUGCAGCCAGUCGAUGAAGAUUGGUAUGGUCUGUAGUCUACCUGUAUAUUUGUCCAAUCAUUUAAUCAUAAAGUCAGGAUGUGAUACAGUGCGCUGAUAUUGUUAAAGCUAUGUACUACGAUAUGUUAGAGUUAAUAUUUAGCUUGUUCUAAUGUUAUUAAAAGGAGUCGAAGCUGAGAGAAUAGUUGGAUCUCUAUAGUAUCUGUUUGGCAGGUUUAAUGAAGUAAAAGAAUUCAAAAUUUUAGCAAACUCCAGUGUCCCCUUGUCUGGUAUUUGAUUCGUAGAGACAUUAAUAUUCUACUUGGAAUAUGAUGUAUGAAACUGAUGUAUUUAUGUAUGAUCAUUGAAGUAAAGCAAUUCAAGUUUAAAUUCAAAAGCUUGGCUUUUAGAGUUUUAGUAAGAAAAUUGAUGAAGUUGGAAACAUAGUUGGGAUGAAUUCAGUUUUAGAUUCAAAUACUCAGCUUUCAGAAACUUGAUGAACUUUGAACAUAGUAGGGAUGAUGAAUUUGGAACAAGGUGAUGUGAAUGGUUUUUUGGUAUCCUUGCAGAGGAGUCUAGUUGUAGAAUCGAUCCCAAUGAUGUAAUACCUCAUCUCCUUCUACAAAAUCCUCUACUUUACUAAGUCCAACUCUAGUAGCCAGUUUUAUAAUGUGAAACUCUAAAUCCUCUAAUGGUGCAUGCACUUAAAUGCAACUUGAAGGCACUGAAUAACUCAAAACAUGUUUUGAGGUAUUGUCGCGUCUGUUAUUUUGCUAUGGUAGGUACUUUUGUUUUGACCCCUAUGAUUUCUCUUUAUCUUUUCAAUGGUAGUUGUGCAUUUCCACCGGUGCUACUGAAGAACUCCAAUGUCCAAAAGAAGGGUUAUUGCAGAACUUUUAAUAGUUAUUCUGUUUGUUAUAUGUUAUUGUAGGUUAUUUUGUGGUUGACAAGGACUCAACCUCUGAUAAGCUUGUAUUCAAUCGAACUGUCACGCUGAGAGACAAUUAUGCUAAGGGUGGGAAGUGAUUGCCUUCAAAGUGUGAAAGGGACGGAGCAAGCAGCCACAAGAGCAAUUUUUAGGCUUUAAAUUGUUUUACUUAUAUAUGAAAUAUAGAAUUUUCUUCUGGUUAACAAAAAAGAUAGAAUUUUACAAGCCUUUGAGGUUGCUCUUUAGGUCUUGUACAUCAUACAUGGAUCACACUAGACGAGAUUUACCUUUGGUUUUGAGUCCUUCCCAUUUAUUUAAAUAUAGUUUGUUUAUAAAUGUAUUUGUAUGGAACCUUCAUAGGGUGUUUUGGUAUUGAGGCGGGCUUAAGACUUGCAUCCAAAGUUUUAGCUUCUUCCAUAUUAAUGUUUUGCUUAAACUCAAAAAACUAGUGGUGGUUGGAGCUUCAGUAUUUGAUGAAACAGAAGUGCUCCCUCCUUUACUAAACGAUUGAUCGUUUAUAGAAAAAAAAAUAUUGUUCUAAUUUAUUUGCCGAUUGACAACUUUGUGUUAGGAGAAUAUAAUUAUUUAUUUUUUGGUAGUGAUUAUAUUUUACCUUAAUGGUAAUUGUUAAAUGAUAGUAUUAAAUGAUUUUUUUAAUUUAUGUAUAAAAAUUUUAAAUGACAUUUUUAAACAAUAAUUUUUUAGGAACGAAGGUGAUAGUAUUUUUUUGGGUACAAACGCAUGGUCUAUAGAUCGAUGUAAACGUAAUGUAUACGUUAAUUGUUAUGAAACAGGCUGUUAUUUCAUUAUGUACUAAUUAUUAAGUUAGGGACAUGCUAGUCACUUUUUAUAGUAGACAGAAUAUGAAAUGUUAAAUGAGAUGUUUUUUAAAGAUGUAUCGAAGCGGAUUUUGAAAAGCAAGUUCGUCACUGUAUCUAUGUGUGGGGGGUUUCCAAGUUUGUGUGGCGGACAAAAGGCAAAAGUAAAUGUAAAAAAAUUAAUGUUUUUUUGACUUCUGUAUUUUGGUCGGUACUACUAAUUUCGAAGACCCAAAAAUUUUGGAUGCUUUUACGGAGCGGAAUGAAUUGGCCUAUAGUAGUUUGUAUUUCUUUUAUUUUAAAUAGCUGAAUGUGAGUGUAUGAAUGAAAAUACUAUAACUUUUCCCCCAAAAUCUCUCUAAUUUUUGGAGUUUGAUCCAAACUCGAUCACUUGGAGACAAACAUCCACACGGACACGGUAACAGUAAUUUAUAAGUGGAUUCUUGUAGCGUGAAUAUUCAGGCUGAUCUAAUAUUGGCAUGGAGUCUGUUGAGCAAAUGCUUCAACUUGUUUUUCCACUGAGUUGAUUGGAACCUUUAACUUGUUUGAUUGGUAUUUGGUUGUGCAGAUCGAUGAUACUGUCACGGGGGAUGCAUUGGUUAGUAUAGAAGAGCUUAAUGAUAUUAACUGAUCAAUUGGAAUUUUCUUAGAUAAGGUUUAUCAGUUUGUGAUGUGAUAUGGACUAUUCAAUAAACAAAGUAAUAAUGCUCUUUGGCAUGAGCAUCCAACUUAAUUUGAAUGAAUGGACCGGACCUACUUUCUUGAAUUGAAUUUUGUACCUGGCUCUUACUUACACACCCUUGCUGAUCGAUCAUAUACAACCCCCCACCACCCACACACAUGUACAAACAGGGAAUAUUUCAUCAGGAGAUUAUAAAGAUGGAAGGAAAGAAAAGAAAAUGAAGGUUUGUUGUUUGAGUCUUUCUAAGAUUCUCUUUGCAACAGCCAACAAGCGUGCAUGCUCUGCUCGACUAUACCUUAAGAUUUUAUAACAUACAAACAUUAAUUUACAACGAAACGUACGUGGGGUUAUUGCCUAUUGGGGUUGGGCGGUUGUAGCAUAUUACUAACAUACUACUCCCUCCGUUCCUAACCUCUAUUUUAUUAAUUUAUGACUCGAGUUUUAAUAUUUGUGAUUCGGUUCCUCCAUAUAAACCCUAAUUUUGCAUGGUUGUAGUUAUUUAUAGCUUAAUCAACAUCGGACGCAUUUCACUUUACCAGAAAAUGGACGCCCAAAUGGAGAUUCUUUUCCCUUGUAUUAGUUUGUGGGCCUUGAUCUGGCCACUCUUUUAAGCAUAUAUUAAUUUUCUGACCCAAUCUUAUUUAUUGUAUAUUAUUGUAAAGAAUCCUUUUUAAUUUAAGAACAAUUACAUUUUCUAUUACAUUUUAAAAAAUAAUUAUAUAAAAAGAGUACAAACAAAAUAAUUACAAAAAGAGUGAUAUACAAUAUUUAAUUACAAAAAAUAGUGCAAUCUUAUCCCUUUAAUUAUGCACACGAUUACCAUCUCUCCCACAAUUUUCUCCCCAUCUCUCCCACGAUUUUCUCCCACUUCAUUUCUGUUUCCCUUCUUCUUAUCCUCCCUCCCUCCNNNNNNNNNNNNNNNNNNNNNNNNNNNNNNNNNNNNNNNNNNNNNNNNNNNNNNNNNNNNNNNNNNNNNNNNNNNNNNNNNNNNNNNNNNNNNNNNNNNNNNNNNNNNNNNNNNNNNNNNNNNNNNNNNNNNNNNNNNNNNNNNNNNNNNNNNNNNNNNNNNNNNNNNNNNNNNNNNNNNNNNNNNNNNNNNNNNNNNNNNNNNNNNNNNNNNNNNNNNNNNNNNNNNNNNNNNNNNNNNNNNNNNNNNNNNNNNNNNNNNNNNNNNNNNNNNNNNNNNNNNNNNNNNNNNNNNNNNNNNNNNNNNNNNNNNNNNNNNNNNNNNNNNNNNNNNNNNNNNNNNNNNNNNNNNNNNNNNNNNNNNNNNNNNNNNNNNNNNNNNNNNNNNNNNNNNNNNNNNNNNNNNNNNNNNCAUUUGAUAAGGUAACCAAUUCAGUUUUAUUUGAUUACCAAUUUUAUUUUAAAUGUGAUGCAGUUACUAGUCAAAAUUCGUAUAAAGGUAACCAUUUCAAUUUUUGUGGGUAACCAAAUCGUCAAAAGAAAUUCAGAAUAGCCACUCCAGCGGCGGCGAUGUGGCGGCGGCAGCGGUGGCGGCGAGAGAGGAGGAUGAUGAACAUUAGCUCCUUCAUAAUUUUUUAUUUUUAAUUUUCUCAUUUUGAUUUGAAUUUUGAAAUAUAGAUUUGAAAUUGUUGUUAGAGACAAGAUUUGAAUUUGAAAUUAUGGCAGUUAUUUUUCUUGAUUUUAGAUUUCUUUAUUAAUGUGAAUUUUACUAGUUUUUUGUAAUAUGAAUUCUAAUUACACUCUUUUUGUAAUUAUUUAAUUAAUGUACUUUUUUAUAAUUAUUUUUUAUUUGUUGUAUACUUAUGUAAAAGACCCUUUAAAUUAAGGUCCUAGGUAGGAUACAGAGACUUGGAGGCCCGGAGGGGUUUGUGCUCUUGUAACUUUUUUUAUUUUAUAUGGAAUUCUCCUCUACUUGUUUCACAAAAAAACAAACAAAUAAUUUUCUCCUCUACUCUUUAACUUAAAGACGUUAAGUUAUUUUAAACUACCAUUAAAAGAAAUAGAUUUUUUUAAACAUAUAUAUGAGCCAUAAACAAAUGAUACAUUUUAACUUGAUAUACAUUUUUCGAGCAUCUUUUUAAUUGUUUAAAUUUUUAGAUGAGUUAAUUACUUAACAAUAUUAGUAUACAGUAUGCUCACAAUUACAUUAAUUGAAGACAAAUUUUAAAAUUUUCAUAGCCUAAUCAAUUAUUAGGUUGAUUUUAAUUUGAUUUCAAGUUCAAUUCUCCUAUAAAUGAAUGAGCAAGAGCCGAACCCUAAUUAAUUUGUGGCAGACCCAAAUUGUUCAUCAACAACUCCAUUUAAUAACAGCCUAAUCCAUAUUCAAAUGCCGUCCAAUUUAUUUAAACUCAAAAAAUCACCUAGCUUUUCAUUUCAUUUAUUUUGGACGAAAUUUCAUCGGAAAUUAUAUAAUUUUGACAGAACUUCUGUCGGAAUUAUUACUAUUUCCGUCGAUCUCAUGGCCGUGCGUGCGGGUGAUAACUGUUCGCGCCCUAAUUAUUAUUAUUUUCAUCUAAAUUCCGUCGGAAUUAAAUUAUUUUAGUGAGAAUGAUUUCUGAGGAAAUAUUAUAUCGAAAAUAACAUAAUUCCAAAGGGAAUUCAGUUUGUCAAAAAUAAUUUCGUCCCAUAAUUAAGUUGUUUUUCUUAUAGUGCAAUUAAUUGGGGUCCAAAAAAAUUCAUUUAUGGUAGAAUGUAGAUGCAUAAUAAAUUAAGGUUAGAUUCUCAAGUUAGUUACAAAAAGUUAAUGCAUGGGUUAUGAAAACAUACCCUACACAAUUAGGAACAAAUUAGUAAAAAUUGAGUUGUAUAAGAAAUUAUUGUUGCCAAGCCAAAAGGGUGUGCCUUCUUUUCCGGUAAGCUGUUCAAAAAGUUAGUCAGAAGAUUAUUCUGACUUCUAACUCCAAUUCUAGCAUGUAUAUUAAUUGUCAAUAUCGACCCAACUUGUAUGACUAUAUAUGAACUUAUGAAGUUGCUUUUAUCUUCUUUCAUUAUCUGGAGUUUCAUUCAGCUGAUUCUUGGCUCAAUAUUCAUCGUUCAUAUAUAACUUGUAUGGACAUGCAUCAAUCUGAACAACAUACCUUUUUCAUAACUUGCUGAGGGCGUGUAUAUAUAUAUAUAUAUAUAUAUAUAUAUAUAUAUAUAUAUAUAUAUAUAUAUAUAUAUAUAUAUAUAUCAAAUUGAAUUACUUAUCCAAGUAAAAAAUGUUAAUUAUAGGUUGUUUGAAGUAAUUUUCAUAAAGAGGUUCAAUUUUCUCUCGAUCUCUCCAGCAAUGAGGAGGUUGGUCCGGGGCAUAUUUAACCAUAACUUUUUCUGGUAACAAUUUAAGUCCUAAAAUUCAAUUAAACCAAUUUCAAUAAUAUGGCCAACUUUCAUUUAAUCUGAUAUUUGGCAAGCAUAUGAACGAAUUAAUUAAAGUUAUUUUCUCAAACUCGUGGUAAGAAUAAGACAAAACUCACAACCUAACAAAAUGUCAUUUAUCAAAGAGAAAUCAUUCGUGAUGGAACUUUGAAAAAUAAUCACAAGGAUGGAGACAGCUAGUCUCCUAUCAUAUCCUCUUCCUCACAAAUAUUAUGGAAUAUAUAUUUUGACCUAAUCAUCUACAAAUGGAGCCUAAUUAUCCACUAAUUACAACCAUUAGGGUGGUUCAAUCUUUGACAAAAAAUCCUGCUUAAUUUUUUAAAAAUUAAAUGCAUGCAUGGAGACACAGUAUAGGCAAGCGGCAUAAAAGUUUUAGGGUUUGUUACGGUAAAGAUUGCUUCAUAAAUGAUUAGAUUUCACUUACCUCUACUGCCAAACAAGGCCGUAUGUGGGAUUUGAAUGUGAAGAUUAGAGCUUCCAAUAGAGGAAAGUACUUUCCAUGCAUGGAAUUUUUUAGUAGACUUCUAAUUCAGUAUGUACACGAUGAAACCCUAAAUUGCCUAGGAAGAUCUACGCUCUUGCAUGCUUCGCUGUUGCUCAAAAUGAAGAAAAAAAGAUGUGUAUGUGAGUGAGUAAAAAUUAAUGUAAAGAAAGUUAAGGUCAGGUACUUUUGAGGAGAUUAAUUACUCCCUCUAUUCCAAAAUUAAAUAUACAUUGUUCUAGCAGUUAAUCAAUUCAUGACUUCCAGUCGUCUCCUAUGUUAAUUAUGUCUCAUAUAAUGGAGUAUGGAUCAUCGUGCAGUAAAGUAAUGGAAGAACGUACUCUAUAGAUCAAGUACCAAUUUUUGUGCACAAAUUUGAGAUACUAUGGACAAUUAAUUAUAUGGAAAGUCUAUAAUUUGUCUGGUUGUAGCUGGUGUAAAGAAAGAUAUGCAUGCCCAUUGCUUAAAAAGUUCCCCUAUCUAUCUAUCUAUAUAUAUAGUAUAUAUAUAAAUAUAUAUAUAUAUAUAAAAGACUUUUUUUUCAUCUUCUCACAAUAUCAUCUGUACGUAUUAACUACAUGCACUGAUAUUUAAAUGUUUGACAUUAUCUAUAUAUACUACUACAUCUUCAUCAAACUUGAUGUCUCAUUUAAUUGUGCAGUACUGGGUUUUCUCUACAGGUAAUAAAGUCUGCUUAACAUUUUGCUGAGACCAAACUCGUAAAAUUUGAAAUGAGACUCUCAUGCAUGUAUAUUUAGUCGAAAAAUGAUAUACUUUGUAUACAACAUGAUCUGUGAGUAUGAUCGCUAAAAGAAUAUUAUAAUUAAUUAAUCACAUACUUUCAAUAUAAUCAUCAAUUCAAACAUGUUAGUAAGACCUAAAUUUCUAAUAGAAUUUAUUUUUACAUUAUUUACAAUGUCUGUCUAGUAUAAGUAUUUUCUCCUUAAAAUUUUGUUUGCUGUUACAAAGAGUGGUGCUUAUAUAUAUAACUAUAAAAAGAUAUUACCGUACGUAGUAGCCUUUAAUUCGACGACCAAGUUAGAUAGUGUAACUUCUAUAUUUUGCCAAAGUUACUAGAUAGUAGUAGUAUAUGUUUAUUACCCAAGACCCUAUAGAAAGGGGCAGGCAUAUGCCAGAAUCCUCAAAAAUUAAGAGCCUUCGGUUUCCAAGAACUCAUGGAAAGCCAUUAAUGAACCCUCAAUCAAAAUUCUCCAUACGUAACCAAAAGGUGUAUGCUUGGUGGUCCCACUAACUACAUGGAAUAUAUAGUUAAAUGUGAUAGAAUGUGGACCCACCAAGCUCCACAAAAAUGCUACUCUCGCACAUUGUAAUUUGCAAUGUACGUUUUUAAAAAAAUAAUACUUAUGUUAUAACCAGUGUCACUAAAUUUAUAAGUCUGUGCUUACAAUUUACUAUUUACCUAAUUAUAUAUAAUAUAGCUAUUAAUUUCAGAAUAUUGUCAAAAAUUAUCCAAAAUAUCCAUGAAUUUGAUCGAGUCUUCAAUAUUUUAUAUCAGUUGAUCCGUGUAAAUAUAUGAUUUGACUUUUUUUUAAAGUACUUAAUACCGUAAAAAUACGUUAUAAAACUAUAAAUAUAAUUUAAAUUAUAAAUAUAAUUUGUUAAAUUUAAGUUGUGAUAUAAUUUGUAAGAUACAAGUUAUAAAAUUUAUAGAUACAAUUUUAAAAUUAAAAAUUUUUAUAAAUACAAUUUGUAAAAUUUAAGUUGUAAUAUAAUUAUUUACAAAAACCUCUCUCUCUCUUCUCUCUCCCCUCUUCUAAGUUUUUCUCAAAUUUCUGUUUUAGUGUUCAUCUCAUGUUCAUCGAUCCUAUUCUUUAAUGGGUAUCCCAAAAAUCCCAGAAACAAAAUUUCAAAUUGAGAAUGACAUCAAAGGCCAGGAAACAAAACUAUUUUCUAUAAAUUCAUUUUGACGGCUAAUUACUUCUCUGCAAGUUCAUCUUAAUCACUAAAUAAGCCUUCACAAAUUAAAUAGUGAUGAAGAUCUUUUCACAUAUAUACAUAUAGAGAGAUAUAAAGCAGACAACUUUUUGUAUAGAUAUUCGGGGAUAUCUACGUGUAUGUAUACAUACAUACACACAUAUUUAAAAUGUUAACCAUCUUUUUUCUCCAUAACCACACUAAGGGAUCACCGUCAUCAACAGGGUUCCGGCCGGUGAAUAGGAGAAAAACAAAUAUAACUGCUAAUAUUUGUUAACCAACAAGUUGUUGAAUGUGUGAAUGAUUGCACUAAACGAAAAGUCGAAAACCAAGAUGAAUUGUGCUGAGAACCACACAUGGACCCAAACCAUUUGAAAAAAACUUGUGAUAACUCCAAAUAUGUCUGUCUAGUCCCAGAUCUGCUUGAUCUUUAGGUUCCUUUAGCAAAAUAAAUAAGGUAUUAUUAUGGGCAGCUUCAAUACAAAAUUUUUGAUAUAUUAUUCGCAUAAUUUAGUAUUAAAAUGAGAAAGCUAUAGCUUCCAACCCGUUUUACAAAUAUAUAGGCCGGGUUUUACUUGUUUAGAGGUUGAAGAUGAUAACCAUUUUAGGACUUUCAAAAAUUUCUGUUGUUUAAAUCGUACGUGGCUGCUACUGACCUUUUUUUCUGUCUCUCCCGAUUGUCUCCUUUUAUUUUCCAUGUCAUUUAUAUAGUUUUUUUUUUUUUGGCGCAGCCAUGUAAGAAAUAACGUAAUGCUUGUUUAAUAAAUUUAACGUAAUACUUGUUUAAUAAAUUUGACAUAAUGAUGUAAGUUUAUAAUUUUAAUUAGUUCAAAUCGGGUAAUUAAAUUUUUUAAAAGGUUAGUGGAUUAGGUGUCAGGUACAAUGAGAUAAGUAUUAGUUUUGUCAAAUAUAAUUUAUAUGUUUAAAAGUUUAUUAGUUUUUUUUGGUAAUUAAGUCCCUUUUUUAAUAUUAAAAUAAAAAAAAUUGUAUUUGGUAAUCUUUGCAUUAAUAUUUGAUUUUAAUAAUUUAACAUAUAAUAUGUAAGAUCCCAAUUUUUUAUGAAUAAAUAUUUAUUUUUUUCUAAAUAUUAUUUUGAAUAGUAAGGUGUUGAUUUGAUAUAAUGCUAUAGUUAUGAGUGAUAUGUGCAAAUUUUGUAAAGUAAGCAGUUAUCAUAAAAUAUUCGUUUGAUCGAAAAAUAUUCGUACGAUCAUUGGUGGAUCCUACAACGGAAUAACUGUCGGAUAUAGAAUGCGACAAAAAUAACUUCUUCAUAAAAUAACGACAAGACUUUUACCGUUAAACUGUUGAAAUAUCCGGUGAUAAAAGUACAGUAAUACGCAUUGUUCCACAAUGGUACGCGAUAUUGCACAGUAGCACACGGUAUUGCACAGUAUCUCUGAUUAUUGAUGCUUACGGAAGAAGUCACCCUGUUUCAUUCCAUAUUUGCCACAGUAGUUGCUGCAUAGUAUCUUAUAUUAUUGAUUCAAUUACCAUCACAGUAUCAUCUGCAUAAUAUUUUAUAUUAAUAAAUCAAUAAUUGAGACGAUGACACCGUUAUUCAUAUUAUUAUUUGUAUUAUUGAUAAUGUCUAGAAAGUUCUGUCGAGGAAAGAUGUUAGGUUAUUUAAUUGCGCACCAAAAAAGAGAAAUCAUUAUCGGAAAACCCCAUUUUUUCUGGGAAUGACCUGGUUAAUUUUCAAUAUUGCGAGUUAUAAUAUUAUUGAUGAAGAAUUGUUGAAAGAUUAAAAAUAUGUUGAUUGAAGAUAAGUGAUUUGUGGUAGAUAUUUAUUCAAUUUUUGCUAUAAAUAGAGGGGUUUGUCAUGAAGCGUUUAUUGUAAGUUUGACUUAUUAUUCCAUGGACCCCCAUGUGUCAAUUUGUCAAACCGUCGGUAUAAAGUUAUCUCAGUUUUAUUUUAUUAUUAUUAUAAUAGUAAUAAAAUAGAAUUUUUUUUAUAUAAAAUAAAAAACUUUUUAUAAUAUAUAUAUAAAGUUGUUUGUUUUUAUUAGAAUAUUUUGUUUGAUUAGAAUAUUUUAUUGUAUAGUGCUGCAUAAUGAAAAUCAGAUUUUACCCGUGAAAUCGUACGUGAAAAACUUUCUGUUCAUCUAUGAUUAUUUUCUUAAGUAGUGCCCUUCCAUUCUCCUAUAAUAUCAGAAUAAAAGAAUUUUUCUUCUAUAAUAUUAUGCGUAUUUCUGUCUAGUGUAAGAAUACUUUGAGUGUAACUAAUAGUGCAAGAUUUUCUCAAUAUAAUCUCUGCUAUACCAGUCAGAUUCAGUCUCCUACUAAGGUAAAGAAUGUUAUUUUCUUCAUACUUAUAAGGGUUGUCAUUCUAUUCUUUAUUAAUCUUUGUGAAUAACUUGUCUACGCAUACAGAUUACCGCAUGCCUGAUGAGUAACUCUUAGUAUUCAUUCUUUAUUAAGUUGUGGAAAUAAUUUGUCUACGCGGAUUACCACAUGACGGGUGAAAAUCCAUUUACAGUUUUGUAUAUUUUUUUUUCAUAUUCGUAUACGAUAUCAUUUCUUUUGUACCCUUCAAGAGAUAUCGUUUUUUUUCCAUAUUUUUCUCCAUUUAUGGUACAAAUUUAUUAUUUGUUUCAAUAACCUUAUUGUUAUUAAAUGGUGAAAAUCUCUGAAAUUUGUAGAAUAUCCUUAAUAGUUUACGCUUCAUCUAAUAUCAUUUCAUUGAAAUAUUGAUCUGAAUUUUUUUAUUAAAUUUUAAUAUUUUCAUUUGGGAUACUAUUCACGGGGUACUAUUCACUCGAGGUAUUAUUCAUUCGGGGUACUAUUCACGAUAAAAUUAAUUUUUUUUCUGUCUAAAUUAUUUUUGAUACAUAAAUAUCAUUCUUGAAUGUUACUCCACAAUUAGUUAUCAUGUUGACAGUUUGGACAUUCUUGAACUCUGGAUAAAUUGAAUUAUAAAUCUUUAAUAUUUAUCCUUGAUCUCACUUGAUUCAUUCUUUAUAUAAUUAUCAUCAUCCUUAUACUUAAAUUAAACAUGUGAUGGAAAGUCAUCUUUGGCCCGUAGUGCAUAGAUGGACUGUUGAUUGGUAUGAUUAUGACUAGAAAUUGUGUAUUGAUAUAAUCAUGACCUUUGAUGUUACAGUCAAAUGUUAUGAUGAAAGUUCUCUUUUUGGCCCGUAGUGCAAAGAUGGACAGAUGUUUGGCAUGAUCAUGACCACCGAUGAUCCAAACGAUUAUCUUUGGCCCGUAGUGCAUAAAUAAUUCGUUGAUUAGAAAUAAUUAUUGAUUGGUGUUACAGGGAUAAAAUAUUGAUGAUAAACUUUUAAAUCAUAAAAGAUAUAUAGUAGACAUCAUGUUCUAUGUGACUCUUCUAAUGAAUUAUAAUUUUCGCUGCAGUUGUUGAUCUAAAAUUUGUUGUCUAUUGUAUUCUAUCAGAUUUUUUCCAUGUUGAGGAUUAAGGAUAAUUUAUUCUACAUUAUCUUAGUCAUAAUAUUCUUUACUGGACUAGUGAUCUCACCCUUUUCUUUCAUUGCUCUCUUCAGGAAAUGAGAAUAUAUAGCUGAGACUAGUCGGGGAAUGGAAUUAAUGUCGAUCCGAGAUAGUCACUAUAGCAGUCUUCAUUAUGUUGUAAAAUAGUGUGACAAUAAUAGUAAUGAAGACUUAAUUUGAGUAUUGAUAUUGUCGUAUUAUGUACGGCACAAUAUUUGUAUUCAAACUCUCAACUUAUGUGUUAAUUAUCGUAUAUUUUACAUGACAGUUGUAUAAAUGAAAUUUGUAUUUGAAUUAUGUACCAUGUAUUUUGGCGACUCAAAAUGGGUUGUGUGGACUUAUUUUGGGGGCGUCACAUAAUAAUUAUUUAUAUAUAUUUAUACAGAUUUAAUAUGUCAAAAUAAGUAUGUAUACAAAUUUUAUAUGAAUUUAAUAAGUCAAACCAUAUUCUAUACGGUCAAACAAUAUACAGAAACUUGUCUACUUGGAAAAUUAGGUAUUCCGGCCAAUUUUGGCCGAAUUCUGAAAUUGGGGGCUACGUACAUUGUAUGCAAUUAGGUACUUGAUAACUAUAUAACAAAAAAAAAUAAAAAAAAUAGGUAUUUAAUGUAGUAUAUUGUAAGCUUAAAUACUUUGGGGACCGACUUAUGAAUUUAGUGAUACUUGAUAUAACAUAAGUGUUAUUAGCCCUUUAAAUAAUUACAAGUUUAAUAACUCGCACGGUAAGCUUAAAAAUAACUUAUCAAGUAAGUUUUAAAUAU
rnacentral:lncRNA from 1 species